ACGACAAGCAGCCCUGCACUAAGCAAGUCGUAGUCCCAGCUUUUUUUCUCCUUCGAUAGAGUUGGAUUGGAAGAGUCAGCCUGCGGGGUAAGCCUUUUCACGUGUGCGCAUUAUUGUUGAUUUCUCUCUUUUUUCUGGAGUAAGAAAUCCAAUAGGGAUUCAAAAUCUACCAUAACAUAAGGAGAGGAGGUAGAGCAAUAGCUUGGGUUGACCCUCUUAAUGAAGAUCGAUCUGGCAGAGGAGAAGUAGAUCCAUUCAAGUCCAAAGCAAGGUGGAAAGUCUCAAUUCAAUGCUGCGGUUGAUGACCGUGAUCUUGACACAUUUCCUUAAAUACAAUUGUUUCCAAUACAAUACUGAAUCAGUAGUGGAUACAAAUAGAGGAAGGGAUGUCUGGAGGGCUGGCUUGGAGGAAGAUGGAUAUGGAAAUACGUUAAAUAUCCCAAAUCAUAGUUUUGUCUAUUAGUUAGCAAUGUACAAAAGAUUGCUUCGACUAGGGAUCAAUCAAGAUAGUAAUUGCCUGAUAUGUGGUGGAAACACAGAAUCUCUAAACUGCAACUACUAUUUGAAUAGUACUUUCAACUGACGUAUUAUGUGAAUUUUAAAUGAGAAUGAAACCAAAAGAAGAGUCAGAAAGUUUUGGGAAUACCGCUGAAAAUUAAUCAACUCUUCCUAAGUCAAUUAUGAUGAAGUAGAAAUCUAAAGCAAUUUAGGCGAACUAAGUCCAAAGAAGAUAUAAAGUUUGUAUUAUUUUGGCUUGAAAUUGAAGUGCGUGUUUGGCAUAGGUUGACAGAAAAGAACAUAUAGACUGCGACACGGAGACAUAGCGAUGAAUGGAUAAAGAGUGUCAUGGCCAAGAUUUUCCAUCCUCAAAAAUUAUGAUAAUGCUUACUCGCAAAAAAUAGGUAAAUCACAAAAUAAAGAAUCACUAACCAUCUUAUUUUAGCCAUUUUUAAUAAUUUGGGUUAACAGAUAGUCAACAUUAAAAUAUUAACAAUAAAUGGAAACCAAGGGGAAGACUUAAUCUUAUAAAAUAACUAACGCCAGUACAACAAUGUCAACAUACGUCUCUAUCCGGAAUCUGGUAUCACAAUAUUACGGACUGUCUAUGAAUGUAUAAGCAAAUGUUUGAAAAGAAAGUACAAUAUGUCUCAGAACAACUGAAAACAGAGUACAUAAUAAGAUAGAAGAGAAUGUCGAGCCUACGGACUCCUGCAGGACUACCUCGGGAUCCCUAGCUAGACUGAAGGCAGCCACCCCAAAUGCUACUGUCCAAAAGCUGCUCCGGGAUCUACACAUCGUGUAUAGUGUAAUAUCAGCACAACCGAACCCAUGUGCUGGUAAGUGCCUAGCCUAAUCUCGGCGAAGUAGUGACGAAGCUAGGACCAUACUAUCAAUUAAACCUGUGCAGUCAUAUAAUAUAAAGCGGAAAAUAAAAACAAAUAAACAUGGGAGGGGGUACAUGUUGCAGGGGAUGUCAAUUCCAACAGUAAUCUAAGAGAAAUAUAAGAUAAUAAUUUAAGAUCUACAUCAAAAUAACAAUAACAAUGUUGCGGCGUGCAAUCCGAUCCGUUUAUAUCAUUGUUGCGCCGUGCAACCCGAUCUAUUUAUAUCACUGUUGCGGCGUGCAACCCGAUCUAUUUAUAUUAUUGUUACGGCAUGCAACCCGGUCCAUUUAUAUCAUUGUUGCGGCGUGCAACCCAAUCCAUUUAUAUCAUUAUUGCGGCCUGCAACCCGAUUCACUUGUAUCACUAUUGGGCCAUGUAACCCGAUCCGUUUAUAUCAUUGUUGUGGUGUGUAACCCGAUCCAAAUUUAACAUUGUUGCAGCGUGCAACCCGAUCUAUAUAUACAAUCAACAAUAGUCAUAAUAAGAGUUCCGAUAAGGGAUCAAUAAAGAACUACACCCUCCCGACAACGGAAUCGACAGUAUAAGUAAAUACAUCCCGGCAAGGGAGAAACAACUAUAACCAAUCUUGUUCCAACAUCUAAUUACAUCAGCUAACACCAAUAGUCAAUGAUAAGUAAUUUCCACGACGAUCUUAAUCCUUGCUCAAUAGUGAGAAUCAUCAAUUUAAGCAUCCUUAGUAUUAUUUAAGAAUACAAUAAAUCACAAUUUAGGACUCACGAUCAUGCUCGACACCAAUGUACAGAUACUCGUCAUCAUGCCUAUACGUCAUACUCGACAAGAAGCAAAUAGCAAAUAGCAUAAAACCCUUAAUCCCUCAAUAUAAUGUUAGACCAAACAGUUAACUCAAACUUCUAUGGCCAACUCAAGCCUCAAUCACCGCUUUUCCUUUUGAAUUGGGCUCCAAAUCAACCGUAUCUAGAAAUAUCGACUUAUUAAUGUGAUGACGCGACCAGUCGUUUCACGAGUUAUCGUUCCUUUUCCCCUAUUUCUGCUUUUCUAUGCUUCAUUAUCUGUGUUUUAUGUGGUCAAGUUGAAUAGUUUGCGUUCGUAGAGGUUUUUCCAAGAAAUUGAGACACUUAGUCUCUUUUAAGAAGGUUUAACUUGAAAAAGUCAACUGGAUAUUGACAUAUGUAUUAGAGGGAUGGAAUGUGAGUUCCGAUGGUUCGGUUAGUUUCAGGAGGUGAUUUAUGACUUAGGAGUGCGAUCGGACUUGGUUUUGGAGGUCCAGUGUUGAAUUAGGCUUGAAUUAGCGAAAUUAGUACUUUGGCGAUUUCCGGUGGGUACGUGAGAUUUUGAAAGAAGGGUCGGAAUGGUAUUCCGAUAGUUUCUAUAGCUUUUUUAUGUCAUUUGGGAUGUGUGUGCAAAAUUUCAUGUCAUUCGGACGUGGUUUGGUUGGAUUCUUGAUCGAAAGCGUAUUUCGGAAGUUUUUAGAAAACUUAGGCUUGAAUUCGAUAUGAAUUGAUAGAUUUGAUGUUUUAUGAGGUGUUUUAAUGAUUAGAACAAGUUUGAAUGAGGUCAUAGGAUGUGUUGGUGCUCUUGGUUGAGGUACCGAGGGCCUCGGGGUGAUUUCGUAUGGCUAACCGGAUGUUUUGAGUCUUGGAAGAUUGCAGCAGCAGUUGCAGAGGAAUUUUGGUCUUUGCGAUCGCGUGAGAUCCCUUGCAAUCACGUAGAAGGAUUUUGGAAGGCAGGUUUUUUGAUCUUUGUGUUCGUGGUUGAGGUUCUGUGUUCACAGAAAGUCUUGAUCUGGUGCUUCGCGUUCGCAAGGUAAUGUUCGCGUUCGCAGAUGAGGAUCUGUGGUCCAGUAUAUUUUUUCUUCAUGUUCAUAGCUAAGGGCUCGCAUUCCCGUAGUUGUGGAAGUGGAAGCAUCACAUUCGCGAUGAAGGAUUUCCACAAGUGGGCGGUGAGUUUAUUACACAUUUCAUCUGCGAUUUUUAGCCUUUUUUCCACCAUAGCUGAAUAUUUUGAGCUCUUUGAGGAAAAUUGGAAAGGGAUUCAAGGAGGAUUUAUUGGAGGUAAGUUUUAUAAACCAAAAACGUGAUUCUAUUGUGAAAUUAACCAAGAAAUUCAUGAAAAUUUAACUGAAAAUGGAAGAACUAUGGCUUGGGAUUUUGAGAUUUGAAAUUGGAAUUUGAGGGGUUAUUUGUACUCCGAUUAUAGUGUUCUUUGUAUGCAUAGACUCGUGGGAUGAUAAGGAAUCCAUUGAUGUAAAAAUUGAGUUUUGAAAAGCGCUCCCGAGGCUCGAGUUUUGCUAAUUUCGGGAUUCUUGAUAUUUUUGAUUUCUUUCGCUUGGGUUUUGUUCCCUUAGCAUAUUGUGACGUAUUCGUUCUGAUUUUGGAUAGAUUCGAUGUGCGUGGAGGCCGAUUCAAGGGGCAAAGGCAUCGCGAUCUAGAGUUUUAGCCUGUUCAAAGUGAGUAAUGAAUGUAAAUGAUGGCCUGAGGGUUUGAAACCCCGAAUUUGCAUAUCGUAGUGCUAUAUUGAGGUGGGACACACGCUUGAGGAUAAGCGUGGGGUCGUUUACUAUUGUGGAUUGUGACUUGAUCCGUCCCGAUUUAUGAUUUUUUUGCAUAUUUGACUGUCACUUAAUUUUAAUCAUCAUGACUUGGAUUGAUUGUCAUAUUUGGGCUUCGUGCUAACUGGUUGAACCCUCCAGGGAUUUUUAUCGCUAUUUUCUAAUUGUUUUGACUUACUACUUGAACUCAGUCGUUCUUCUUAUUUGUUUUACAACUCAGCAACUUUUACAAUAUUUCAUAACUAAAAUGAUAUACUAAAUGAUGCUUUGGGCUGAGAAGUACUCUUUUACUAAUGCCUGAGGGGCUUAUGUGAUUUCUUGACUGAGUAUGGCCGAGGGCCAGAUGUGACGAUACUAUAGGAUCGGGCUGCGCGCCGUAGUAGUGUUAUACUGAUACUGAUAUAAGGCCGAGGGCCUAGAUUUGAUGCCACGAGAUGGCUUGAUAUUGCGCUUGGGCUGUAAGGUGACCCUCCCAGAGUCUGCAUGUCCAAGUGCCCGUGCAAAUGGUCUAGAACUUGCCCCGAAUGUGUUUUUUGGCAAAAUUUUAAGUUUUGCUUGGAUUGAGAAGUGAUUUUAGGCUCUCGUUGACCCGCUUGAAAUUUUCCAUGUCCCACCAAUCUUUUUAUCCCUAGUCAACCCAUUUGAGCCUAAAACCUUUCUCAUCUGAUAACCAUGUUACAAGCCUUUACUAAUUUUGUAGUGACCCUCUCUUGGCACAUGAGCUUUCCUGAAAACUCUUGAGAAAUAAUGGGCUAAAAAUAAGUUUGGGAGAUAGACGAGGAGUUUGAAAGUGGUAUCAAGUAACAAAAAGAUAAUAUAAAUGAAGAAAAUAAAAGAAAAGGACAAAAGAAAUAUGCAAAAAGAAAGUGAAUAAGUUGAAGAAUUGAAGGAAUUCAAAGAAAAGCAACGAAGCAAAGCAUGGAGAAAACAAAGAAGGCGAAAAUAAAUAUCAUGAAGAAGAAAGAAUGAUGUUAAGUCUCUCUAGUUCCCCAAAGGAAAAAGAAAAUUUCUCAAAGAGUCGGAAAACAUGAGCAAAAAAGAGAAAAUUGAGUGCUUAAGGAAAGAUGAACCCGUUCUAUUCCAACAUAUCCUACCUUAGUCCAAAAGCCUUCAUUACAUUUUAAAAAAUUCCUGCUUGAUUUCAAGUCGAGUGAACUUAUAGUAGUGGUGAUUUAUAGGAGGGACAAUCAUAUGGUACUUAGAGUCGUACUUGUGACAUUAUUUUGAGAGAGAUGAGAGAACUUUUCACAAAUCCUCAAAUUGAGUGAAAUUCUUAAGUGAAAUAUGCUAACGGAUAGAGGAGGAGGAGGCGUUUGGGAUUCACAAUAACAUACAUGAAACAUGAAGCUUCCUUGAUGAAUAAAGUCAACCCUUGAUGCUCAAGUGUAACAUUAGAACUAUUUGUGCUUAAAAUCUUAUAUCGUUUUCUUGUUUAUAGUUCAUAAGUAUAGGUACUUGUUGGCCCUAAUUGAUGUGUGAUUGAUGCACCUUAAAAUAGUUGGAAUAGCACAUAACUUGUGAAGGUGGGAAUUACCUUAUUUACUUGAGUAGUAUUGUAGGUACUUGUUGGCCCUAAUUGAUGUGUGAUUGAUGCACCUUAGAAUAGUUGGAAUAGCACAUAACUUGUGAAGGUGGGAAUUACCUUAUUUACUUGAGGACAAGUAAAAGCUUAAGUUUGGGGGAGUCGAUAAAUGAAGAUUUUGACUACUUAUUAGCGCCAUUUAGCUUUCUUUUUAGUCCAAAAAUAUUUAAUUAUAUUCCCAAAAAUUGAUGAAAUAUACUUAAUUGCAGGAGUAUUGGAAAUGAGUCACUUAGAUGAAAUCCAACUCAAGAAGGAGUGAUCAGAAGUCAAGGACAAAAAUUAGGCACAAAAGCUCAAGUGUGGACUGUAGAUUUCCAUCUGCAAUCGCAGAAUGUGAAGGAAAGUUAUCAGAGUCCAAGUGCAAAGUGCGGACCACACAAUUAUUGUGAAAUAGUAGAAGCUAACCAAGAACAGAAGUUCAAAGAGUCAUGAUCUGUGUGGCCGUAGAAUUCAGCUAUGUGGCCGCACUCAGAAAUGUGCGGUCCAUAAAAGAGCCCUAAGCGGCCGCACGAAAAAUUAUUGACCGCACAAUUAUUAUGAAACCAUAGAAGCUAACCAAGAACAGAAGUUCAGAGAGUCAUCAUCUGUGUGGCCGUAGAAGUCAGUUAUGUGGCCGCACUCAGAAAUGUGCGGUCCGCAAAAGAGCCCUAAGCGGCUGCACAAAAAAUUAUGUGGACCGCAGAACAUGCGAGAUGCGGCUGCAUUCCGGAAUUGUGCAGCUACAGAUUCAACUCCUAUCAAGACUAAAGCAAAGUGUGGAACAAACAUGAAAUUGUGCGGCCGCAGAAUCUUCGAAAGGACAUUUUGUCCGAAAAUUCUAGCUUUGUAUAAAUAAAAUAGUUUCACAAAAUUAGUCAAGUUUUAAAAUAUAAAAAGUGUUGUAGCCAUUUUUCCUUACUUCUUUAGGCAACUUUAGCUUACAUUGGUGAUUUAACAUUGGAUUUUAAUCGUAUAAUCUUUCGAAAUGAGUUUUAUCAUCUUUCUUCUUUAUUUUCUUCUAUAUCCAUUAUGAGUAGAUAGAUUUUUAACUAUAGUUUGAUCCAACCCUAGUAUGUAAACCUAAUGAGUGUUCUAUUUAUGGCUUGUUAUUGGUUGGAUAUAUAUUAUUUGGCCAUGUUUUUGCUUUGCAUUGUAGAAUUAAUGGUUACAAACAUUACAUCAUGCCUAUUCAACUUGGUCCUUACUUGAGAAAUAAAGACUUAGUGUAGGAAAAUUUGGUUAACAAAAAAUUGGAACAAAAUCAAGAGAUUGAUAGUCCAAAUUAAAGGGUUGAACCUAGAGAUAGUAAACCUCGACUUGAGCAUUUUAUCAAUUGUUUUGUUCAAUAACCAUUUGGACUUGAGAAAACUAAAUUGCAUAAAGUCACUGUUUUCCCGAGAGGUAUUGAGUGGGUACUUGAGUGUUGAUAGUUAUAACACUCCUAACCAACAUAACAAGAUUUAAAGUUUACAACAUGUUAAGCAAAUACCUAGGUUAAGGUCAUAGCCGUAGGCCUCCUUAUAUCUUUGAAAAAUAUUGAAAACGCUAUCUCUAGUUUUAUGUCUUUAGAAUGGAAAUCCUUAGCAUAAUUUUAGAAGUAAAAAUAAAUUCAUAUUUGUAGAAGUGCUAGAUACUUCACGUGCUCAAUCCAACUAUAUACUACUAAUCUCCGUCUAAGCUUUUUAUGGAUUCGAUCCCGACUCCAUGUUGGGUAUUAUUAUUGCAAUCAAUCACUUCAUAACCUCAAAUAGAGGUGUCACUUAGACGAGAUCAGAGUACAGGGAUGAUAAGGACAAACACUCAUAAAAUACCAUAUCCUUGGAAUAGAAAACUGAGUGAGAAUAUCAAGUGAGAAGUUUAUAGCCAUUUUUACCGCAAGGAUAAGUAAGAAAUACAUCAUCAAUUAAGCUCUAUUGGAACUUAUUCCUACCAACUUUAGUGGAAGAAGCAUAAGAUAAACUACUUAAGGAGUUCAAAUGAUCAUAAGAAGGUAGGUGACCAUAUACUUUUCAAAGGGAGAAAUAUUGAGCAAAAUAGUAGACGAAAAUCAUGUCAGCCUAUGUAGGUUGCAGUUAAAACAUAUUCACCUACAAUUUCAGAGGAAUCUUUGAUUGAAACAGUAGUUUUCUUGAUACCUCUAGAAAGUAUUUAUUCUUUCUCUCAACUACCCCUUUUUGUUGAUAAGUGUAAGGCAUAGAGGUUUGAUGUGAAACAUUAUUCGCAAUAAAUAAAAAUACUUGAAAAUUGGUACUCCCUUUCCCUUCCAAGCAGAGACUAAAGGAGGAGAAACUUUAUGCAAAAUUCUCCAAGUGUGAGUUUUGGCUCAGUUCAUUAGCUUUCUUGGGGCACGUGGUGUCCAGCAAGGGUAUUCAGGUUGAUCCAAAAACGAUAGAGGUGGUUCAGUGUAGCCAUUGAGAUUCGUAGCUUUCUUGGAUUGGCAGGCUAUUAUCACCGGUUUGUUUAGGGAUUCUCAUCUACCGCAUCGCCCUUGACCAAAUUGACUCAGAAGGGUGCUUCAUUUGUAUGGUCGGACGAGUAUGAGGAGAGUUUUUAGAAGCUCAAGAUAGCCUUCACCACAACUUUGGAUUUGCCAUCAGCUUCAGGUUUAUAUAUCGUGUAUAUUGAUGCUUCGAGAGUUAGGAUUGGUUGUGUAUUUAUGUAGGAGGGUAGAGUUAUUGCUUAUGCCUCUUGUCAGUUAAAGACUCGCGAGAAGAACUACCAUGUUCAUGACUUGGAGUUGGAUGCUAUUGUUCAUGCACUGAAGAUCUGGAGGCAUUACUUAUAUGGUGUAUCCUGUGAGGUAUUCACUGAUCAUUGCAGUCUUCGGCAUUUCUUCAAACAAAAGGAUCUUAAUUUGAGGCACUCGGAGAUGGUUAGAGUUGCUGAAGGAUUGUGACAUCACUAUAUUGUACCAUCCGGGGAGGCUACUAUGGUAGCCGAUGCUUUGAGCCGAAAGGCAGUGAGUAUGGGGAAUAUAGCAUAUAUUUCAAUUAGGGAGAGACCUCUUGCAGUUGAUGUGCAGGCUUUGGCCAAUCGGUUUUUAAGGUUGGAUAUUUCUUAUCCUUGUGGGGUAUUGGCUUGCAUGUUAUCUCGGUCUUCUUUAUACGAUCGCAUCACAGAGCGCUAGUAUAAUGAUCCGCACUUUCUUGUCCUUAGGGAUAGGGUUCAGCAUUAUGAUGCUAGAGAUGUGACCGUUGGUGAUGAUGGAGUGUUAAGGAUACAGGGCCGAAUUUGUGUGCCCAAAUUGGAUGGGAUUCGGAAGUUGAUUCUGGAGGAGGCCCAUAGCUCGUGGUAUUCUAUUCAUCCAGAAGCCGCAAAGAUGUAUCGGGAUCUUAGACAACAGUACUGGUGGAGAAGAAUUAAGAGUGACAUUGUGGGAUUUGUAGCUCGGUGCCUCAAUUGUUAGUAGGUGAAAUAUAAGCAUCAGAGACCGGAUGGCUUGCUUCAGCAGAUGGUUAUUCCCGAGUGGAAAUGGGAGAGGAUCAGUAUGGACUUAGUUACUGGAAUCCCUUGGACUUUAAAGAAGUUCGAUGCUAAUUGGAUGAUUGUGGACAGACUGACCAAGUUCGCGCACUUCAUUCCUAUUUGUACUACUUAUUCUUUAGAGUGGCUGGCAGAGAUAUAUAUUCGGGAGAUUAUUUGGUUGCAUGGUGUCCUAGUUCCAUCAUUUCAGAUUGUGGCCCUCAGUUCACUUUACAGUGUUCAGCGGGAGUUAGGUACCCAGGUGCAGUUGAGCAUAGGUUUUCACCCUCAAACGGACAGACAGUUCGAGCUCACCAUCUAGAUAUUGGAGGAUAUGCUACGUGCCUGUUUAUUGUUUUCGGAGUUUCAUGAAAUUGGUUUCUCCCGCUUGUAGAGUUUUCUUAUAACAAUAGCUACCCGUCAAGUACUCAGAUGGCUCCAUAGGAGGCUUUGGACGGGAGGCGGUGUAGAUCUCUGGUUGGUUAGUUCGAGCGCGGUGAGGCUAGGAUAUUGGGAAUAGAUUUGGUUUAGGAUGCUUUAGAGAAAGUGAAGGUAAUUCAAGAGAGACUCCAUACGGCACAGUUGCGGUAGAAGAGUUAUGUGGACAGGAAGGUUCGAGAUGUAUACUACAUGGUUGGUGAGAAGGUCCUAUUGAAGGUUUCGCCCACGAAGGGUGUUAUGAAAUCCAAAAAGAAAGGGAAGUUAAGUCCACGAUUCCUUGGCCCUUUUGAGGUACUUCGGAAGAUCGGAGAAGUGGCUUAUAAGCGUGCCUUUCCACCCAGCUUGUCGAGCGUGCAUCUAGUUUGUAAUGUUUCUAUGCUCCGGAAGUAUAUUGGAGACACGUCCCAUGUUCUGGGUUUUAGGACGGUUAAGUUGGAGGGUCAUUUGACGUAUGAUAUAGAGCCAGCAGCCAUUUUGGAGCAUCAUAAUUGGAAGUUAAGGUCAAAGGAUGUAGGUUCAGUGAAGGUGCAGUGGAGAGGCCUGCCAUUGGAUGAGGCUACAUGGGAAACCGAGCGGGAGAUGUGGAGCAUAUAUCCUCACCUAUUUGUGGCUUCAAGUAUGUUUCUUGACUCGUUUGAGGAUGAACAUUUGUUUAAGUUGGAGAGGGUGUAACGACUCGAUCAGUCGUCUCACGAGUUACCGCUCUGUUUCCCCUAUUUCUACUUCGCUAUGCUUCACUAUUCAUGUUUUAUGUGGUCAUGUUUAGUAGUUUGCGUUCGGAGUGGUUUUGGUAAGAAAUUGAGACACUGGGUCUUAUUUAAGAAGGUUUAAGUUGGAAAAGUCAACUGGAUGUUGACUUAUGUGUUAGAGGGCUCAGAUGUGACUUCCGAUAGUUUGGUUAGCUUUGGGAGGUAAUUUAUGACUUAGGAGUGCGAUCGGAAUUAGUUUUGGAGGUCUAGUGUAGAAUAAGGCUAGAAUUGGCUAAGUUAGUACUUUAGCGAUUUUCGGUCGGUUGGUGAGAUUUUGAUCCGGGGACCGGAAUGGAAUUUCAAAAAUUGUUGUAGCUUUGUUAUGUCAUUUGGAUGUGUAUGAAAAUUUCAGGUUAUUCGGACGUGGUUUGGUUGGUUUUUGAUCGAAAGGGUAUUUCGGAAGUUUUUAGAAAAUAUAGGCUUAAAUUCGAUGUGAAUUGAUGGAUUUGGUGUUGUUUGAGGUGUUUUGAUGAUUAGAACAAGUUUGAAUGAGGUUUUAGGAUGUGUUGGUGCUUUUGGUUGACGUGUCAGGGGCCUCGGUGUGAUUCCGGAUGGCUAACGGGAAGUUUUGAGUCUUUGAAGAUUGCAGAAAUUUCAGUAGCAGUUGCAUAGGAAUUUUGGUCUUUGCGAUCGCAUGAGGUCCCUCGCGAUCACGUAGAAGGAUUUUGGAAGAUAGGUGUUUUUCUCUUCGCAUUAGCGGUUGAGGUUUUGCGUUCGCGGAAGGUCUUGAUCUGGUGCUUCAUGUUCGCAUGGUAAUGUUUGCGUUCGCGUAUGAGGAUCUGGGGUCCAAUAUAUUUGUUCUUCACGUUCGCAGCUAAGGGUUCGCGUUCGCGUAGUUGUGGAAGAUGAAGCAUACGUUCGCGAGUAUGGUGACGCAUUCGCGAAGUGUUAUUUUAGGGUCAAGAUAAGUUGUGCAUCGCGAACGCGUGGGUUUGACUGCAUUCGUGAUGGAUGAUUUCCAGAACUGGGCAGGGAUUUUAUUAAACAUUUCAUCCGCGAUUUUUAGCCAUUUUUCUACCAUAGCUGAGUAUUUUGAGAACUCUUUGAGGAAAAUUGAAGAGGGAUUCAAGGAAGAUUGAUUGGAGGUAAGUUUUAUGAACCUAAAAUGUGAUUCUACUGUGAAAUUAACCUAGAAAUUCAUGAAAAUUUAACUAAAACUGGAAGAACUAGGGCUUGGGAUUUUGAGAUUUUAAAUUUAAAUUUGAGGGGUCAUUUGGACUCCAAUUUUUGGUGUUCUUUGUAUGCAUAGGCUCUUGGAAUGAUAAGGAAACCAUUGAUGUGAAAAUUUUUGAGUUUUGAAAAACGGGCUCGGGGCUCAGGUUUUGCUAAUUUAGGAUUCUUGAUAUUUUUCGAUAGUUUUUGCUUGGGUUUUGUUCCCUUAGCAUAUUGUGAUAUAUUUGUUCUGAUUUUGGAUAUAUUCGACGUGCGUGGGGGCCGAUUCUAAGGGCAAAGGCGUUGCAAGCUACAGUUUUAGCUGAUUCAAGAUGAGUAAUGAAUGUAAAUGAUGUCCUGACGGUUUGAAACCCCGGAUUUGUACAUCGUAGUGCUAUAUUGAGGUGAGACACGCGCUUGAGGAUAAAUAUGGGAUCGUUUACUAUUGGGGAUUGUGACUUGGUCCGUCCUAAUUGAUGAUUUUUCCGCAUAUUUGACUGUCACUUAAUUGUUAUCAUCAUGACUUGGAUUGAUUGUCAUAUCUGGGCUUCGUGCCAACUGGUUGAACUCUCGUGGCGAUUUUUAUCACUAUUUCCUCAUUGUUUUAACUUACUACUUGAACUCAGUCAUACCGUUUUUCCACUGUUUUACAACUCAGCCACUUUUACUCGAUUUCAAAACUAAAAUGAUAUAUUAAAUGAUGCUUUUGGCUGAGAAUUACUGUUUUACUAGUGCCCGAGGGGCUUAUGUAAUUUCUGGACUGAGUAUGGCCAAGGGCCAGAUGUGAGGAUACUAUGGAAUCGGGUUGCAUUGUUAUACCGAUACUGAUAUAAGGCCGAGGGCCUAGAUUUGAUGCCACGAGAUGGCUUGAUAUUUCGCUUGGGCGAUAAAGGGCCCCUCCCAGAGUCUGCACUCCCCUAGUGAGCGCCGUCGAUAAUAUAUGGAUCGGGUUGCACGCUGCAGUGGGGACUAUAUGGUAUUGUUAAAUGUGUUGACUUUCUUUAACUUCCAGUCACUUAUCUGCUUACCUAUGGUAGAAUUAUCAUAUUUCACUUUUCAUUGUGUUAUUGCUUUCGUAUUACUUAUUUUAUAUGUCGUAUCAUAUCUUACUUUGUGUUUCAAUGAUUUCUUAUUCUCAGUCAUUAUUUAUACUAUUUCUCACUGGGUCGGAGUACUCACUUUACUCCAUGCACCUUGCAUGCAGAUUCAGGUGUUCCAGAGGCUCAGUGACAGACUUUUCUCGUUGAUUAGCAUUUAACAAAGUUAUCGAGGUAGCUGCAUGGCAUCCGCAGACCUGAUUUCUCCUUCUAUCUUAUUAUUUUUUUCGCAUUUCUAUACUAUCUAUGUAUUAGGUUGUUCAGACCUGUAUUAGAGGCUCUUGACUUGUGACACCGGAUCGGUAGGCUAUGUAGUGGUAUUAUCUUUUGACUUCUUCAUACUUAACUUACUGUUGCACAUCUUUAUUAUGCUAAAUUGGUAUUGAAACUGCGUUAUCUGGUAAUGAACAUUUCUUUUUACAUGUAUUGUAUUAGUCUGCCACAGAGAUGCCUCUAUACUAUUUGAUCCCGGUUUCACCUAUUCUUAUAUGUCCUUGUAUUUUUCUCAUCAUUUGGGUACGUCCUGAGAGUUUCUUUCUUCGCCUGUUAAUGUAUCUACCCCGGUGGGCGAUACUAUUAUUGUAGAUCGUGUGUACCGUUCAUGUGUGGUGACUAUUAGGGUUUUGGAGACCCGAGUAGAUCUACUGCUAUUGAGCAUGGUGGAUUUUGAUGUUAUUUUGGGCAUUGAUUGGUUAUCUCCGUGUCGUGCUAUUCUAGACUGUUAUGCUAAGAUAGUCACAUUGUCUACGCCGGGUGUACCGUGGAUCGAGUGGCGUGGUGUGACCGAUUAUGUUACUAGUAGAGUAGUAUCUUUCUUGAAAGCCCAGCGUAUGGACGGGAAGGGUUUCCUUUCAUAUCUAGUGUUUGUGAGUGAUAUGGGAGCUGAGACUCCUAACAUCGAUUAUGUCCCAGUUGUGAGGGAUUUCUCUAAUGUAUUUCCUGCAGAGCUGCCGCGCAUGCAACCGGACAGGGAUAUUGAUUUUGGUACUGACGUGGUGCCGGGUACUGCCCAUUUCUAUUCUGCCAUAUAGUAUGGCACCCGCAGAGUUGAAAGAAUUGAAGGAGCAGCUUCAGGAACUCCUAGAUAAGGGGUUCAUUCAGCCUAGUGUGUCACUUGGGGUGCACUAGUUCUAUUUGUGAAGAAGAAGGAUGGCACAAUGAGGAUGUGCAUCAAUUAUAGGCAAUUGAACAAGGUAACAAUUAAGAACAAGUAUCCUCUUUCUCGCAUUGAUGACUUAUUCGACCAUCUUUAGGGAGCGAGGGAGUUCUCCAAGAUUGAUCUCCGUUCGGGCUAUCACCAGAUGAAGAUUAGGGAUUUAGAUAUUCUCAAGAGACCCUUCAGGACUAGAUAUGGUCAUUAUGAGUUUCUUGUUAUGUCUUUCGGGCUGACCAAUGCCCCAGCAGCGUUCAUGCAUUUGAUGAAUAGUAUAUUCCGAUAUUAUCUGGAUUCCUUCAUAAUUGUAUUCAUUGAUGAUAUUCUGGUGUAAUCGCGUAGUAAGGAGGAGCACGCGGAGCAUUUGUGAGUUUUAUUGCAGAGAUUAAAGGAGGAGAAGCUUUAUGCAAAAUUCUCCAAGUGUGAGCUUUGGCUCAGUUCAUUAGCUUUCUUGGGGCACGUGGUGUCCAGCAAGGGUAUUCAGGUUGAUCCAAAAAAUAUAAAGGUGGUUCAGUGUUGGCCUAGACCGUCCUCAGCCAUAGAUAUUCGUAGCUUUCUUGGUUUGGCAGGUUAUUAUCGCCGGUUUGUUUAGGGAUUCUCAUCUAUCGCAUCGCCCUUGACCAAAUUGACUCAGAAGGGUGCUUCAUUUGUAUGGUCGGACGAGUAUGAGGAGAGUUUUCAGAAGCUCAAGAUAGCUUUGACCACAACUUUGGUUUUGCCAUCAGCUUCAGGUUUAUAUAUCGUGUAUUUUGAUGCUUCGAGAGUUAGGAUUGGUUGUGCAUUGAUGUAGGAGGGUAGAGUUAUUACUUAUGCUUCUCGUCAAUUAAAGACCCACGAGAAGAACUACCAUGUUCAUGACUUGGCGUUGGCUUCUAUAGUUCAUGCAUUGAAGAUCUUGAGGCAUUACUUGUAUGGUUUAUCCAGUAAGGUAUUCAGGGAUCAUCGCAGUCUUCUGCAUUUCUUCAAACAAAAGGAUCUUAAUUUGAGGCACUCGGAGAUGGUUAGAGUUAUUGAAGGACUGUGACAUCACUAUAUUGUACCAUCUAGGGAAGGCUAAUAUGGUAGCCGAUGAUUUGAGCCAAAAGGCAGUGAGUAUGGGGAGUUUGGCAUAUAUUCCAAGUGGGGAGAGUUCUCUUGCAUUGAUGUGUAGGCUUUGGCCAAUCGGUUUGUAAGGUUGGAUAUUUCUGAGCCUAGUCGGGUAUUGGCUUGCAUGGUAUCUCGGUCUUCUUUAUAGGAUCGCAUCACAGAGCGCUAGUAUGAUGAUCCGCACUUUCUUGUCCUUAGGGAUAGGGUUCAGCAUUAUGAUGCUAGAGAUGUGACUGUUGGUGAUAACGGAGUAUUAAGGAUGCAGGGCCGAAUUUGUGUGCCCAAAUUGGAUGGGAUUUGGGAGUUGAUUCUGGAGGAGGCCCAUAGCUCGUGGUAUUCUAUUCAUCCAGAAGCGGCAAAGAUGUAUCAGGAUCUUAGACAACAGUACUGGUGGAGAAGAAUUAAGAGUGACAUUGUGGGAUUUGUAGCUCGGUGCCUCAAUACUUAGCACGUGAAAUAUAAGCAUCAGAGACCGGGUGGCUUGCUUCAGCAGAUGGUUAUUCCCGAGUGGAAAUGAGAGAGGAUCAUUAUGGACUUUGUUACUGGACUCCCUUGGACUUUGAAGAAGUUUGAUGCUAUUUGGAUGAUUGUGGAUAGACUGACCAAGUUCGCGCACUUCAUUCCUAUUUGUACUACUUAUUCAUUAGAGCGGCUGGCAGAGAUAUAUAUUCGGGAGAUUGUUUGGUUGCAUGGUGUCCUAGUUCCAUCAUUUCAGAUCGUGGCACUCAGUUCACUUUACAGUUUUGGAAGUCUGUUCAGCGAGAGUUAGGUACCCAGGUGUAGUUGAGCAUAGGUUUUCACCCUCAAACGGACAGAUAGUUCGAGCUCACCAUCUAGAUAUUGGAGGAUAUGCUACGCGCCUGUGUUAUUGAUUUCGGAGUGUCAUGGGAUCGGUUUCUCCCGCUUGUAUAGUUUGCUUAUAACAAUAGCUACCAGUCGAGUAUUCAGGUGGAUCCAUAUGAGGCUUUGGAUGGGAGGCGGUGUAGAUCUCUGGUUGAUUGGUUCGAGCCCGGUGAGGCUAGGCUAUUGGGGAUAGAUUUAGUUCAGGAUGCUUUAGAGAAAGUGAAGGUAAUUCAAGAGAGAAUCCACAUGGCACAGUUGCGGCAGAAGAGUUAUACGGAUAGGAAGGUUCGAGAUGUAUCCUACAUGGUUGGUGAGAAGGUCCUAUUGAAGGUUUCGCCCACGAAGAGUGAUAUGAAAUUCGGAAAGAAAGGGAAGUUGAGUCAACGGUUCCGUCGCCCUUUUGAGGGACUUCGGACGAUCGGGGAAGUGGCUUGUUAGCUUGCCUUUCCACCCAGCUUGUCGAGCGUGCAUCUAGUUUGUAAUGUUUCUAUGCUCCGGAAGUAUAUUAGAGACCCAUCCCAUGUUCUGGAUUUUAGGACGGUUCAAUUGGAGGGUGAUUUGACGUAUGAUAUUGAGCCAGCAUCCAUUUUGGAACGUCAUGUUCGGAAGUUAAGGUCAUAGAAUGUAGGUUCGGUGAAGGUGCAGUGAAGAGGCCGGCCAUUGGAUGAGGCUACAUGGGAGACCGAGUGGGAGAUGUGGAGCAUAUAUCCUCACCUAUUUGUGGCUUCAAGUAUGUUUCUUGACUCGUUCAAGGACGAACAUUUGUUUAAGUUGAAGAGAGUGUAAUGACUCGACCAAUCGUCUCACGAGUUACCGCUCUGUUUCCCCUAUUUCUACUUCGAUAUGCUUCAUUAUUCAUGUUUUAUGUGGUCAAGUUUAAUAGUUUGCGUUUGGAGUGGUUUUGGCAAGAAAUUGAGACACUGGUCUCUUUUAAGAAGGUUUAAGUUGGAAAAGUCAAUUUGAUGUUGACUUAUGUGUUAGAGGGCUCGGAUGUGACUUCUGAUAAUUUGGUUAGCUUUGGGAGUUAAUUUUAUGACUUAGGAGUGCGAUCGGAAUUCGUUUUGGAGGUCCAAUGUAGAAAUAGGCUUGAAUUGGCGAAGUUAGUACUUUGGCGAUUUUCGUUCGGUUGGUGUAGCUUUGUUAUGUCAUUUGGAUGUGUAUGGAUAUUUCAGGUCAUUCGGACGUGGUUUGGUUGGUUUUGAUCGAAAGCAUAUUUUGGAAGUUUUUAGAAAAUUUAGGCUUAAAUUCGAUGUGAAUUGAUGGAUUUAGUGUUGUUUGAGGUGUUCUGAUGAUUGGAAAAAGUUUGAAUGAGGUUUUAGGAUGUGUUGGUGCUUUUGGUUGAGGUGCCAGGGGCUUCUAUGUGAUUUCGGAUGGCUAACGGGAAGUUUUGAGUCUUGGAAGAUUGCAGAAAUUGCAGUAGCAGUUGCAAUGGAAUUUUGGUCUUUGCGACCGCAUGAGGUUCCUAGCAAUCACGUAGAAGGAUAUUGGAAGAUAGGUGUUUUGCUCUUUGCGUUUGCGGUUGAGGUUUUGCGUUCGCGGAAGGUCUUGAUCUGGUGCUUCAUGUUUGCAUGGUAAUGUUUGCGUUCGCGUAUGAGGAUCUGGGGUCCAGUAUAUUUGUUCUUCGCGCUCGCAGUUAAGGGUUCGCGUUCGCGUAGUUGUGGAAGAUGAAGCAUACGUUCGCGAGUAUGGUGACGCAUUCGCCAAGUGUUAUUUUGGGGUCAAGAUAAGGUGUGCAUCGCGAACGCGUGGGUUUGACCGCGUUCGCGAUAGAGGAUUUCCAGAACUAGGCAGUGAGUUUAUUAAACAUUUCAUCCGCGAUUUUUACUAUUUUUCUACCAUUGAUGAGUAUUUUGAGAACUCGUUGAGGAAAAUUGAAGAGGGAUUCAAGGAAGAUUGAUUGGAGGCAAGUUUUAUGAACAUAAAAUGUGAUUCUAUUGUGAAAUUAAUCUAGAAAUUCAUGAAAUUUUAACUGAAAAUUGAAGAACUAGGGCUUGGGAUUUUGAGAUCUUAAAUUGGAAUUUGAGGGGUCAUUUGGACUCCAGAUUUGGUGUUCUUUGUAUGCAUAUACUCUUGCUAUGAUAAGGAAACCAUUGAUGUGAAAACUCUUGAGUUUUUAAAAAUGGGCUCGGGGCUCAGGUUUUGCUAAUUUUAGGAUUCUUGAUAUUUUCGAUUGCUUUCGAUUGGGUUUUGUUACCAUAGCAUAUUGUGACAUAUUCGUUCUGAUUUUGGAUAGAUUUGAUUCGCGUGGAGGCCUAUUCUAGGGGCAAAGGCAUCGCGAUCUAGAGUUUUAGCCAGUUCAAAGUGAAUAAUGAAUGUAAAUGAUGGCUUGAGGGUUUGAAACCCCGAAUUUGCAUAUCGUAGUGCAAUAUUGAGGUGAGACACACGCUUGAGGAUGAGCGUGGGGUCGUUUACUAUUGUGGAUUGUGACUUGAUCCGUCCCAAUUGAUGAUUUUGUUGAAUAUUUGACUGUCACUUAAUUGUUAUCAUCAUGACUUGGAUUGACUGUCAUAUUUGGGCUUUGUGCUAACUGGUUGAACCCUCCGGGGACUUUUAUCACUAUUUUCUUAUUGUUUUGACUUACUACUUGAACUCUGUCAUUCUUUUUUUUUUUUACAACUCAACCACUUUUACUCUAUUUCAUAACUAAAAUGAUAUAUUAAAUGAUGCUUUGGGCUGAGAAGUACUCUUUUACUAAUGCGUAAGGGGCUUAUGUGAUUUCUGGACUGAGUAUGGCCGAGGUCCAGAUGUGAGGAUACUAUAGGAUCAGGUUGUGCGCCGUAGUAAUGUUAUACUGAUACUGAUAUAAGGCUGAGGGCCUAGAUUUGAUGCCAUGAGAUAGCUUGAGAUUGCGCUUGGGCUGUAAGGUGACCCUCCCGGAGUCUGCACACCCCCAGUGAGCGUCGUCAACGAUAUAUGGAUCAGCUAACAAGUUCUUAGAAAGAAGUAGCUCUAGUUAGUGAUUUUCUAACUCUUGUAUUGACUUAAGCAAUCAUCGAGGGGGUUUACUUGAACCAUUAGUGAUUUUUAAUCUUGAAUAUGGUUGUUGUGGGCCCUCGACUCUAUCUCUUUAACAAUCCAACUCUUCGAGAGGUGAGAUGUUUUGUUGCAUGUCCAAGUACCCGUGCAAAUGGUCUAGAACUUGCCCCGAAUGUGUUUUUUGGCAAAAUUUUAAGUUUUUCUUGGAUUGAGAAGUUAUUUUAAGCUCUCCUUGACCCGCUUGAAAUUUUCCAUGUCCCAUCAAUGUUUUGAUCCCUAGUCAACCCAUUUGAGCCUAAAACUUUUCUCAUCUGAUAACCAUGUUACAAGCCUUUACUAAUUUUGUAGUGACCCUCACUUGGCACACGAGCUUUCCUUAACACUCUUGUGAAAUAAUGGGCUAAAACAUAAGAUUAGGAGAUAGACGAGGAGUUUGAAAGUGGAAUCAAGUAACAAAAAGAUAAAAUAAAUGAAGAAAAGAAAAAGAAAAGGACAAAAGAAAAAUGCAAAAAGAAAGUGAAUAAGUUGAAGAGUUUAAAAAUUUCAAAGAAAAGCAACAAAGCAAAGCAUGGAGAAAACAAAGAAGGAGAAAAUAAAUAUCAUGAAGAAGAAAGAAUGAUGUUAAGUCUCUCUAGUUCCCCAAAGGCAAAAGAAAAUGCCUCAAAGAGUCGGCAAAACAUGAGCCAAAAAGAGGAAAUUGAGUGCUUAAGGAAAGAUGAACCUGUUCUAUUCCAACAUAUCCUACCUUAGUCCAAAAGCCUUCACUACAUUUCGAAAAAUUCCUACUUGAUUUCAAGUCGAGUGAACUUAUAUUAGUGGUGAUUUAUAUGAGGGACAAUCAUAUGGUACUUAGAGUCGUACUUGUGACAUUCUUUUGAGAGAUGAGAGAAAUUUUCAGAAAUCUUCGAAUUGAGUGACAUUCUUAAGUGAGAUAUGCUAAUGGAUAGAGGUGGAGGAGGAGUUUGGGAUUCACAAUGACCUACAUGAAAUAUGAAGCUUCCUUGAUGAAUAAAGUCAACCCUUGAUGCUCAAGUGUAACAUUAGAACUAUUUGUGCUUAAAAUCUUAUAUCGUUUUCUUGUUUAUAGUUCAUAAGUAUAGGUACUUGUUGGCCCUAAUUGAUGUGUGAUUGAUGCACCUUAAAAUAGUUGGAAUAGCACAUAACUUGUGAAGGUGGGAAUUACCUUAUUUACUUGAGGACAAGUAAAAGCUUAAGUUUGAGGGAGUUGAUAAAUGGAGAUUUUGACUAUUUAUUAGCGCCAUUUAGCUUUCUUUUUAGUCCAAAAAUAUUUAAUUAUAUUCUCAAAAACUAAUGAAAUAUACUUAAUUGCAUGAUUAUUGGAAAUGAGUCACUUAGAUGAAAUUCAACUCAAGAAGGAGUGAUCAGAAGUCAAGGACAAAAAUUAGGCACAAAAGCUCAAGUGUGGACUGUAGAUUUCCAUCUGCAAUCGCAGAAUGUGAAGGAAAGUUAUCAGAGUCCAAGUGCAAAGUGCUGACCGCACAAUUAUUAUGAAACCAUAGAAGCUAACCAAGAACAGAAGUUCAGAGAGUCAUCAUCUGUGUGGCCGUAGAAGUCAGUUAUGUGGCCGCACUCAGAAAUGUGCGGUCCGCAAAAGAGCCCUAAGGGACCACACAAUUAUUGUGAAAUAGUAGAAGCUAACCAAGAACAGAAGUUCAAAGAGUCAUGAUCUGUGUGGCCGUAGAAUUCAGCUAUGUGGCCGCACUCAGAAAUGUGCGGUCCAUAAAAGAGCCCUAAGCGGCCGCACGAAAAAUUAUGUGGACCGUAGAACAUGAGAGAUGCGGCUGCAUUCCGAAAUUGUGCAACUACAGAUUCAACUCCUAUCAAGAAUAAAGUAAAGUGUGGAACAAACAUGGAAUUGUGCGGCCGUAGAAUCUUCGAAGGGAUAUUUUGCCCGAAAAUUCUAGCUUUGCAUAAAUAGAAUAGUUUCACGAAAUUAGUGAAGUUUUCUAAUAUAAACAGUGUUGUAGCCAUUUUUCCUUACUUCUUUAGGCAACUUUAGCUUACUUUGGUGAUUUAACAUUGGAUUUUUAUCUUUUAAUCUUUCAAUAUGAGUUUAUCAUCUUUUCUUCUUUAUUUUCUUCUAUACCCAUUUUGAGUAGAUAGAUUUUUAACUAUAGUUGUGAUCCAACCCUAGUAUGUAAACCUAAUGAGUGUUCUAUUUAUGGCUUCUAAUUGGUUAGAUAUAUACUACUUGGCCAUGUUUUUGCUUUUAAUUGAGAAUUAAUGGUAACAAACAUUACUUCAUGCCUAUUAAUUUGGUCUUUACUUGAGAAAGAAAGACUUAGUGUAGGAAAACUUGGCUAACAAAAAAUUGGAACAAAAUCAAGAGAUUGAUAGUCCAAAUUAAAGGGUUGAACCUAGAGAUAGUAAACCCCGACUUGGGCAUUUAUCAAUUGUUUUGUUCAAUAACCAUUUGGACUUGAGAAAACUAAAUUGCACAAAGUCACUCUUUUACCGGGAGGUAUUGAGUGGGUACUUGAGCGUUGAUAGUUAUAACAUUCCUAACUAACAUAACAAGCUUUAAAGUUUACAACAUGUUAAGCAAAUACCUAGGUGAAGGUCAUAGCCCUAGGCCUUCUUAUAUCUUUGAAAAACAUCGAAAACGGUAUCUCUAGUUUUAUGUGUUUAGAAUGGAAAUCCUAGCAUAAUUUUAGAAGUAAAAAUAAAUUCAUAUUUGUAGAAGUGCAAUCUAGAUACUUCACGUGCUCAAUCCAACUAUAUACUACUAUCUCCAUCUCAGCUCUUUGUGGAUUCGAUCCUGACUCCUUGUUAGAUAUUAUUAUUGCAAUCAAUCACUUCAUGACCUCAAAUAGAGGCGUGACUUAGACGAGGUCAGAGUGCGGGAAUGAUAAGGAAAGACACUCAUUAAACACCAUAUCGUUGGAAUAGAAAACUGAGUGAGAAUAUCAAGUGAGAAGUUUAUAUCCAUUUUUACCGCAAGGAUAAGUAAGAAACACAUCAGCAAUUAAGAUCGAUUGGAACUUAUUCCUACCAACUUUAGUGGAAGAAGCAUAAGAUAAACUACUAAAGGAGUUCAAAUGAGCAUAAGAAGGUAGGUGACCAUAAACUUUUCAAAGGGAGAAAUAUUGAGCAAAAUAGUAGAAGAAAUCAUGUCAACCUAUAUAGGUUGCAGUAAUACAUAUUCACCUACAAUUUCAGAGGAAUCUUUGAUUGAAACAGUAAUUUUCUUGAUACCUCUAGAAAGUAUUUAUUCUUUCUCUCGACUACCCCUUUUUGUUGAUAAGUGUAAGGCAUAGAGGUUUGAUGUGAAAUAUUAUUGGCAAAAAAUAAAUACUUAGAAAACCAGUACUCUCAAUUUAUGAACAAAUGAACACAAAUGAACUUUGACCCUCAAAACAAAUGCUAUUAAAACAUGAAGGCAAUUAAUUAUGCCAUACUCAAAAUGAGUCAAGGUGACUUUAGAGUAAUCAUCAAUUAAGAUGAGAAGAUAUCGAAAACCAUUAUAGGUUCUAGUGUCAUAUGACCACCAUAUAUUAAUGAACUAAUUGAAAUAGAAUACUAGAAUGAAUUGAGUAUGUAACAAAAGGUAUUAUGCGUUGUCUAGCCAUUAGACAAACAUAACAAAGAAAUUAUUGUUUGGAAGAAAGUUUAUCAGACGAGCAUGGAAUGGAUCCCAUUUUGUAGAAAGGCAUAUAUCCCAGUUUUUGUUACCAAAAUACAUCAAUUUUAUUUCCAAUCUGAGGUGAAGUACAAGAGACACUAUGUUAAAUAGAAGUAACUGCAGAAACAGGACUAUACAUGUCAACUGACGUAACAGAAUUAGAGACAGGUUUGAUAGCAGAAACAUGAUAAUUACCCACAUUAAUAGAAACACAAGGGCUAGUUGCAAGAGAAAUUGAACAAGUAACUGAAUCCAACGAAGUAUCUGGAUGCAUAAAAUACAAUUCUUUAGCAACUCUACCAAUUUUCAAUAGUCUCUUCAGAGAAGGGUCCUAUAUAAAAUAGGCAGACUUGGUAAGAAUUGCAUAACAAUAAAUUUGAACAAUUAAUUUAUGAAUAGAGAUUAAGUUAAAAUUUAAAAAAAGGCACAAGGAGCACAUUGUGUAAAGUUAUAUCAUGUCUUGAACGUAAAGAGACAGCAUAUAUAACUUUCACUAAGUAACCAUUAGAUAGAGUAAUUAAAAAGGAGCAGGUAAGGGUUGUAGAUCAUGAAAAAAAUGUUAAUGUAGUGUUAUUACACCUGAGUCUAAAAUUCAAGAGCCUACAUCUAACUUUGAUAUGUCACACAUAAAAAUCAGGAUUAUAACUACAGAAAUACAUAUACUCGAAAAGCUGGCAAUGGAAACAUUGUCACCAAAUGAGCUCUCAGAAUGAAAAGUGGCAGAAGUAGGAGAAGUGAGAUAUGUAACACUUGAUUAGUAACACUUAUUUCCCUUUGGAUUUAGAUAUAUUUUAAUCUGUUAAAUUGACCAAAUCUCUCAUUAAUAUCCUUCCAAAUAUCUUUAGCUAUAUCAUAACCUAUCAGACUAAAAUAAACAUUUCUAGUUAAGGAAUUAUUCAUCCAUGAAAUGAGAAUAUCAUUGCGUAAUACCCAAGCAGAGUAGUAGGGAGAAUCAGGCUCUAGUUGAGGAUUUCUUCUACUGACAAUCCCAAGUUUAUUUUUGGCUUAAAAGAGCAAUAAGCAUAUUCUUUCUCCAUACAACAUUACCGCGUCCAUCAAAAAGAGAGGAGUAUUGGAUUAUCAAAUGGGUGUAAUACAAAAUGGAUAUGAUGGAUCCAUAGAGAAUAGGGUGAACUGGUCAAAAUACGAUGAAGGAGAUGCAAGUAUAAGAUCAGACAGAGGUUGGAGUACUACCCAUUGUAAUAUAAUACGCAAAGCAAAAAUGGAUAAUUCUACUAUAUAUGCAACACUAUAAUUAUCACCACUAGACACAAAAAUCAAACAUGUCAAGUCAAGAAUUUAUCGGUAGUCUUCGAAAUCACGAAAAAUGAGAGCUUUGUCAGCCAAAUUAAUCUGAUUACACCAAAAUAGGCCUGAGUAAAGCUGAAGUAGUGCGUAUAACUAACAUAUUUUGUUUACAGAAGCAAAUUACAUAAAGCCUAACUCUUCGCAAGUGGCGUGCUGAAAAGAAAAAAUCACCAAAGAAAGCUGAAGAGGGUACUAUCCGUCGAUUGUGAAUGAGAGCUAGCAGCACAAAGCCAGCCCCUUUUUGUAGGAAAACCUUCGUAAUUAUGGUAUAGUUUGCUUUCUUGGAUCCUCUUUCUCUGUUCCUUUGUACUGUGGUAUAAUUUGUUUUCUUGGAGCCUCUUCCUCUGAUCCUUUGUACUGUGGUAUCAGAGCCAGCCCAUCCUUUCGGAGGGAGGAACAGUUUUACUAAAUAUGUCUGAGUCAUUUCCAUCAUUCUCUUUCCUUGCAAAAAUGAAUAUGUCCCCUACUCUAUAUAAAACCUUGUCCAAAAAAUAUGAUUACCUCUAUGAAGUAGAUAUACUAUCCGACGAACAAAAAGCAUCCUCCACUGAACUACCUCUCAUAAACUCUUACUUAGCUGUUGCCAAAAAAUCUUUUGCACCUUGGACCCAAAUUCAUUCCUUAGUCCAACACAGACCAAAAUGAGUCAAAGAAUAUGUUGUUGCCUCAAAACUUGACCAACAUCUUAUUCUUGCCACUCGAGAGGAACAAUUUAUCACCCUUCAAAUAUCAUAUGAUUUUCCCAGACAAUGGAGAGAUCAUGGUUUUACUCAUAUCCAUUUAGGUGCUAUCCGAAUCGCUUUAACAUAUCAUAGAAGAAAAGGUCAACUUGUUGUAGCUCGACUUUCUCUUCCAGAUACGAGAUAUUUGGAAUACCAACAUGCAAAUUUGGGUAUGGCCGAAGUUACUCUGAAUACUGAACUAUCUUCAUAACUAUCUUUCCAAAUUUCAACAUGUCCCUUUAUGACCCGUACCUAACUGAAGCCCUAAAAAUCCAAGUCCAAAUCCAGGUAGCCCCACAAGCCAAAGAUUCCAUUCAAGCUACCCUUCACCACCAAAUUGCAUGCGAGUCCAAAAUUAUGCCAUGGAUCUUUGCCUACCCGGAGGAGAAAAUGCCUUACUCUUAAAUAUUGAUGCUACCAAAGAAAACACCAUGUGCACCCAAAUACCCAAACAGAUUCCCAGAGAUGAGCUUGUAAAAAUCCUUCCUGAUUCCUGGAUCACAAAUUACAAGAAACUAAGAGAAUUGGAGGAAUCCCUGCAAUAUGGUGAACCAAAUUUUACCAAAAGAAGUGACAAAACCGUUUCCAUAAGCUUUGACCAUUCCCAUCUCAAAAACCCCAAUAGAACCAUCUUCACUUGCCAAAUGAUUUAACCCAAAGAUACAACAGACACAUACUCUGAACCUGACGGAGAGUUUUUAUGGAAUAUACAAAGCAUAAUGGAAGAACGUGACUGGUGUCAACAUUUCGACAGAGAAGGAAAAAGAGUUUGGUGGUUCAAAUGCCCAUUCACCGGACUCUUCACAUGGGAUCUUGAUUGCGACUGCCAAGACUAUUUGGAAGAUCCAAUUGGAGAAUAUGACGAACACCACCAGCGUCAUUGGGAAAGGUUCGGCCUCAACAAAACUAAACCAAAUUCCAAGAAAAAUGAGAAAACCACUGAAAAACAAUUCCGAGCCAAAUAUGAAAAUAAAGAUCCUUCAAUUGGCUCAGCAUGCUCACAAGCGUCAUUGAGAAAGAUUCGACCUCAACAAAACCAAACCAAAAUCCAAGAAAAAAGGGAAAACCACUGAAAAACAAUUUCGAGCCAAAUAUGUAAAUAAAGAUCCUUCAAUUGGCUCAUUAAGCCGUCUAGGUAAAUAUAAAUUUCUUGUCAGUUACAAACCCCAAGAAUGGCCAAAAUCACCAGAAAAAUUCACUCCAAGUUGGGAGGAUAGUGAAACAACGCCCAAAUCCAAACCAACAUCACCUCAUAGCCCAGAAUCCAAAAGGCCACCUGAACCUACAACUCUAUCAACCCAAAAGUCCACACACCCACAAAUAUUCAUGAUGAGCCCUACAAGCUCCAGCCACUCUCAAGAUUUUCCUCCACUUCAACCUUUUGAAAAAGAGGGUAUUAGUUAUGCUCUAAAAAUACCCAAAAAGAACAUAAUACUACAUUCUGGAGGAUAACCCCCAACAAGUGACAUUUAAGCAACAAUGAACUGGAAAUCUGAAAAUUCCAUCUGCCAAAAAAAAGUGCUGAAUAACAUUGGCAACACCAUAAGGAACGUGGCUGAUACACAGAACAAAAUGAUGAGCAAAGUGAAAACGAUUGAGAAGAACAUAGAUCAGACAUCGCCUCAGCAUGUAGGACUAAUCAAAGCCUUGGAAAUAAUAUUGGCAAAUUUACAAUAUGAGAUUUGUCCGCUAGGAACAUCACUUUUCCAAUUUUUCAAACAACAACAAAACGAGAUGAUUUCUAUCAAGGAACAAUUCCAAAUUUUGAGAAAUAAGCACUUUGAGCCACAAAAAUCCCCACUUUUCCCUUCAAAACCUACCUUCUUCCUUAUGUCUCCACAAGCAUAUUCAUUACUGAAAUAAGACUGCACCUUUAUACCUUUCUAUCUACCUCACAAGAUCCAAUCUCUUUCAUCCAACCACAAAAAGGAAAAAAUGAUUUUGACAUCGCAAAAUUGGUUUGGGAAAGAAAAGAUGCCCUUGCAGCACAAAAACAAACCAAGAAAAGACAGGACCAAGGUGAAAGUUCAAAAGGGUCGAACCCCCAAAAUCUGAUGAUUUAGGACCAAAAGGCUCCAGACCUCUAUGUCUCCCAGCCAAGAUCAAAAGAAGAUACACCAUGGUCAGAAUCUCUAAACUCACCCCAAACACGUGACAUUGAAGCAACAAUGAACUGGCAAUCUGAGAAAUCCAUCCGCCAAAACAAUGUGCUGAACAACAUUGGCAAUACCAUAAGGAAUGUGGCUCAUACACAGAACAAAAUGAUGAGCAAAGUAGAAAUGAUUGAGAAGAAGAUAGAGCAGACAUCGUCUCAGUAUGCAAGACUAAUCAAAGCCUUGGAACUAAAAUUUGCAAAUUUACAAUAUGAGAUUUGUCCGCCAUGAACUUCACUUUUCCAAUUUUUCCAACAACAACAAAGGAGAUGAUUUCCAUUAAGGAACAAAUUCAACUUUUGAGAAAUGAGCACCUUAAGCCACAAAAAAUCCCAGUUUUCCCUCCUAAACCUACCUUCUUCCCUAUGUCUCCACAAGCAUAUUCCCCGCCUAAAUUAGACUACACCUUUGCUACCUUUCUAUCUACCUCACAAAAUUCAAUCUCUUUCACCCAACCACAAAAAGAAGAAAAUAAUUUUGACAUCACAAAAAUAGUUUGGGAAAGGAAAGAUGCCCUUGCAGCAAAUAAACAAACCAAGAAAAGACGAGACCAAAGAAAAAGUUCAAAAGGGUCGAACCCCGAAAAUAUGAUGAUUUCGGAUCAAAAGGCUCCAGACCUCCAUGUCUCCCAGCCAAGGUACACAUCAUAAGAAGAUAUACCAUGAUCGAAAUCUCUAAACUUAUCAAAAGAUGAAACAAUGGAAGAUAGCUCUCAAUCAAGCAAUGAAUCCACAGCAAACUCUUCCGAGGAAGAUGAUCCCCCAAUAUUUGUAAACCAGUCAGAAACCCAGAAAUAUCUGAAGUAGAUGAGGAAUAAGAAGGCAUGACUGAUGAAUCAAUCCAAGAAAGAAGAAAUGAGCCCAUGGAGUCAAAACCAGUUUGAACUGGUUUCCACACUUUCACCUUAUAUGAUGUCAAGGUUUCAAAAUGGCCUCAAAGGAUCCAAGACUUCUAUACUUGGAUGGUGACCAAAAAUUUGGUGGAACGAGAAAAGUAUAUCAUCAUGUCAGAACUACUUCCCGGUUCUCAGGAAUCCUCAGAGACCGGUGGAACUCACUUGGAAUUUAAGACAAAAAUACUUUUCUUAUUUCCCGAGAUUUUGCCUUCAACAUCAGGAUCCUAUAUGAAGUUUUCUGCGGAGAUACUAGCCAAAGACAGGAUAAAUGCGAAGACAACUCUUCGAGAUGAAGUGUGUGUCAUUCGAUAGAAAUGACAUCGAUAGACAUUUUCAAAAAAUAGCAAAGAUAUACUUCGAUAUCGGAGGAGACAUCAAUCUGAAGCAAGCCUUUGUAUCUUCCCCAAUGUUGAUGGCAAGCCGAACCAUGACCAUCAUUGAAGAAAAGUUUCAGUCCAUAACAAUCCCACAAAUUGGUUACAUCAGGCAAGCUAUUUUCGCUGCAUUGGAUGAUAUUUGUACAAAGCACUCUGUCAUAAAACAAAUUAUCAAACACAAUCCAGAGCUUGACAAAGCAUGCCGCAAAUCUGAUCUAAUCACCAGAUCAGGAUGUUCCUGCCACACAUCUAGGCAAAGGAGAGAAUUCAGGAGGUUCAAAUGGCCAAGAAUUCCAGACGGGAAAGCAAUGUCCAAGAGACGCACAAAAUAUUUCAGACAGAGAAGGCCAGGAAAUUUUCACAAGACGAACAGGUGUUUUAUAGAAGGAGAGCUUUCAGGAGGUUCAAUGGCCAAGAAUUCCAAACGGGAAAGCAAGGUUCAAGAGACGCACAAAAUAUUUCAGACGGAGAAGGCCAGGAAAUUUUCAAAAGAAAAACAGGUUUUUUAUUUGCCAGAAGAUUGGACAUUUCACAAAAAAUUAUCCACAAUCAAGAAGAUCUGUCAAACUCAUUAAAGAGAUUGAAGACUACACUGGCAUACAUCUCGGAAAAGAGGAGGACCUUGAAUCUAUAUUCUCUGUGGAUGAUGAACCUAAUAAAGAAACUCUAUUCUCUCUUGAUAUCUAUGAAGAUCAAGGCAGUGAUCACUACCAAAUUUCAGAACCAGUGAUCGAAGCUCAGAAUGAGAUCAAUGCUCUCGCAGCUGUUCCUCAAGUAGAACUCAAAGUCUAUUUAUCCAAAUGGGAUAAACCAACUCGAGUUAUUGCUUUCAUCGACACCGGAGCUGCCUCCUCACUCAUAAAUCAUUUUGUUCUCCCAAAAGAUCAAUGGAUGCCGCAUUUAAAGGAUUUGAACACUGCAUCAAAUGCAAUCUUUACCACAACUGUCAUAACAAAGCACCCCAUCACAAUUGAGUUCUUUCCAAGAUUGAAGUACAGAACGAAGCUGCUAGGAUCUGAUGGGCCAGGAAAGGUUCUUAUUAUUGGAUUUGACAUUUCCAGACAACUUAGGGAUCAACUCCAGAUCAAUGCUAACGGGACAUCUUUCAAAAAUCAGUUCAGAUCAUAUUCUGAGAUUUCAAGGCUAUUCCAAAUCACCAAUGACGAACAAUCAGAGAGAUUGAGCAAAAUCUCAUUGAGCAUUCAUGUGCUGAAUCACACAAGGAUUUCAUGAAGAAAGGGAAACGACCGUUAUGAAAAAUGAGGAGUUUUUUAUCAAGCUCCCUUUCAAAAAGAAUGAAAAUAUCAACCCGACAAAAGCGAGUCAUUCAGGGAUGAAUCCAGAUCAUCUCCAGCUUGCAAAGAAAGAAUGUGAAGAACUUUUGGAAUUUGAUCUGAUAGAGCCAUCUGAUUCACAAUGGUUUUGCAAAGCAUUUUAUGUCAACAAAAGAGCUGAGCAGAUAAGAGGAAAACUUAGGUUAGUCAUCAAUUACCAGCCACUUAUAUUUUAUGUCAACAAAAGAGCUGAGCAGACAAGAGAGAAACUCAGGUUAGUCAUCAAUUACCAUCCACUUAACCAUUUCCUCCAAAAUGAUAAAUUUCCUAUCCCAAAUAAACUCACUCUUUUCUCCCACUUAGCCAAGGCCAAAUAUUUUUCUAAGUUUGAUUUAAAGUAUGGAUUUUGGCAAUUGGUAAUCCACCCUGAAGAACGACCCAAAACAGGAUUUUGCAUCCUCGAUCAUCACUUCCAGUGGAAAGUCAUGCCUUUCGGAUUAAAAACUGCACCUUCCUUUUUCCAAAAAGCCAUGAUAAAAAUAUUCCAACCCAUCCUCCAUACCUCUUUAGUUUACAUUUAUUACAUCCUAUUGUUUAGUUAUAUAUUAGAGGAACAUAUCAACUUGCUUCGUAAAUUUGAGGCAACACAGUACGGAAUCAUUCUCUCAGCAAAAAAGAUGGUUCUUACACAAAAGGAGAUUGAUUUUCUUGGAAUGCAUUUUGUCCAAGGUGAAUAUAGUCCAGGACCACAUAUAUGUCAAGAAUUACUCAGAUUUCUAGAUACCAGCCUCACCACAAAGCAGAUCCAACAAUUAUUGGGUAUAGUAAAUUAUGUGAGAGAUUUUAUCCCGAAUAUCUCUACAUACAUUUCUCCACUCACUGAGAUGCUCAAGAAAAAUGCUCCAUCAUGGAGAAAGAAGCAAGAUGAUGCAGUCAAAGAAAUAAAGGAGAUUUCUAAAAAUGUAAGUAUCUCUAUAUCCCUUCAUACGGUAAGAAGAUAUUGCAAACUGAUGCCAACAAUGAAUGCUAGAGUGUUGUUUUAUUUGAAGAAAAAGAUGGCCAGAAGAAAAUAUGCGAAUACGUCAGUGGAAAGUCCAAAGAUGCCGAGCAACAUUAUCACUCCACUUUCAAGAAAAUUCUUGCAGUAAAGAAUGGAAUCAAGAAAUUUAAUUUCUUCCUUAUUCACACAAAAUUUCUGAUAGAAAUGGACAUGAACGCCUUCCCCAAAAUGAUCCAGCUAAAGGCAAAUAUUAUUCCCAAUCCUCAGAUUCUCAGGUGGUCUUAAUGGUUCCCGAAAAAUGAUUCAGCUAAAUGCAAAAAUUAUUCCCAAUCUUCAUAUUCUCAGGUGGGCUCAAUAGUUGUCUCCAUAUAAGUUUCAAGUCAGGCACCUAAAAGAAAAAUAUAAUAUUCUCGCGGAUUUUUUUUCUCGACCGGAAGAAUUCUCAAAGAGAUUUUACCCAGCAAAAUUGAAGUUAAAGGAACAGAUAAUCAGCCACAUCUCCAUGCUCUCAAGUAUGCAAGGAACAAGUUCAUCACAACAAACAGAUCAUCCACCGGAGUCGUUCAACCUCAUGGAUCCGUUUGAUCCGUCAAUUAUUAUGGAACGAAGAACUUAUUAUGAGCUUCAAGUUUUUCGGCAACAUGGAGGAUCCAUUCUUAAGCCAUAUGGGGUCAAUCCAGAAUAUCCGUUCUGCCAUAUAUCCAUAGCUCAAGCCAAGGAUUUUCCACAAAGAACUAUUAUGGUUUUUCUGGUACAUAUGCCAUCAGUAUUAUAUUUUUAUGGAAUUCAAAUGCAACGUAUUCAAGGAUUUUGAUAACAUUGCACCAGCUCUUAAAGUAUUUUUGCUAUGGUUCAAACCUAGAAGAUAUUGGUUAAAAUGCUUCAAUGAUUCCUACACAACAAAGGUAUUCAUGUUUCAUAGGCCAGUAAAGAUUAUUAAUGGAAAGGUUCAGGCGCAAGCAGAGGCAUCAUUAUGGUGGAGAUUUCCCAUGUCAAUUUUAUCAAUAGAAGAAGAAUAUAGCGAUGCAUAAAGAAUCUUUUUUCAACAAAAUAGGUGCAUCCCAAGAGAGAUAUGGCCAGAAGAUUGGGCAAGCUAGAAUUACACAAGCAAUCAUCCUCACUGGGAAAGAGUCCGGGAAGCAGCAAAGGCAUAUCAAACCCUAUACGAAGUCAUCCGAGAAAAGAUCACUGAAGACAUUUCUAGAUUAAGGUUGCGGAUUACAUCUCUCAAUCCAAAGGAGAAAGAACACAGCAAAGAGGGGCCGUUAAAUUUCAGGCGUUACUACACAAGGUCAUUGAAAAGAUGCCUAGCAAAUAACCCUAGAAUCAGUGAAUGAUAAUUACCUAAAUCCCUGGUAAACACACCAUAAUCCUAGAUUAGCCACCAAAAACCCCUCAAAAAUAUCCUACCCAUGCCAAGACAAAUUUCCACAUCUUUUUAUACUAUUCGGGCCCCACUUCAACUUGUUGUCACAUGCUUCCACAUGCCUCCACAUGCUUCAUCACAUGCAACACCCUACUUUCACAUGGCGUCACAUGCUCCCACAUGCUAAACCAUGUAUAUUUUACCCUUUUUCACAUGUUUUUAGUUGUUUUUCCUAAAGUCCUUCACAUGCUUAGAAGGACCCACUUAUGAGAUAAAUUGCCAUGUAAGAUAGAUUUCUUUUAUCAUGUAAGUUUGUCUUGUAAUAACCUCCUAGCCCUAUAUAAAGGAGUCCUUAGAAUCAUCUUUCAAUCAUCUGCUAACCUUUGUAAAUCUUUUGUGAUAUACUACAUAUGAGUGCUUUCUAAAUUUCUCUGUUGUUCUUUCUUUCGAAUGGAUAGAAAGGCCGGUCCAUGUAUGAUAUAAUAGAGUAAAAAUACUCUGAGAAAGUUAGCUUAUUGUAGUACGAAAGUUUUCUGGGUUAUAAACAGCUAACAUUGGUUAUAAUACAAAAGUUUUCUCAGUUGUGUAGCUUGGCAAUCCGUCCCUUAUGGGUUGUUGAAGCCAGCCCCUUUUUGUAGGAAAACUUUUGCGACUAUAAACAAAUUAACUGUUUGUGUAGCUUGGCAAGCCGUCCCUUAUGGGUUGUUGAAGUCAGUCCCCUUUGUAGGGAAACUUUCGUAUCUAUGAUAUAGUUUGCUUUCUUGGAGUCUCUUCCUCUAUUCCUUUGUACUGUCUAGCUCUAAUACCAUUUUGGACUAGAAAAUGAACAAAUUGCCGUUAAAUUUGUGGACGUGAACCCUAUUUUGGGUUUAAAAAAAUGAGAGAGAGGGGAGAUAUUUCUUAUUUCAAAAAAAUAAAUUACAUUAUUUAUCCUCUUAAAUUUCAAUUUGAGCUUGAUCUACUGUACGUUUGAUGUGGGUUGUGCCCAAGUUUACAAAUAGUGAUAACAUUGGGGCAGGAUUAUUUGAAACAAUUAUGAACAAUCCUGCCAAUAUUUUUGACAAGGCAAAAAGUAUGCUGAGUUUGUCUUCUUUCUUUUACAUCUAAAAAUUUUUUAUUGAUUGUCCAAUUGAAUUAAAUUGCAUUACAUCAAUAUUUUCUUUAUAAAACAUGUUAAAUCUGAACUCCCAACUUUAAUAAAAAAAAUUUAUUGAUUGUCCAAUUGAAUUAAAUUGCAUUACAUCAAUAUUUUAUCUAUAAAAGGUCAGUAUCAUUAGAGAUAAAAUAGUCUACUAAUUAGCAAACAAAGAUGCAAAACAGAAUCUAUUAAUUUUCUUUAUAAAACAUGUUAAAUCUGAACACCCAACUUUAAUAACUAAUGUUCUUAUUGAUUUAGACAAUAUAUCGAAUCUAUCAAAUAUAUGAAGUUAGAGACAUGAAAAAAAUGAAAUGAAGUUCCAAAGUUAAUAUUACAGAUAAAGAAUACUACUCUAAUUGACAAAAGUCAUGUUUCACACACAACAUAAAUUCUCCUACAGUUAAUCAAUAUACAUCUCUUAGCUGACUAUUAUUGAGACUCUUUGAUCACCUAUAAGCAAACUAAAAGCUCAACAACUCAAGUAAUGUGACCAAUUUUUUCAAGUUGCUCGACAAAAGAGAAGGAAGCAUUCAUCGAUAAGUACAAGAACCAGAACUGGUCAAGUUGAUGUGUUUCCCUAGGUGUUUGCCUCUGAGAAUAACUUCACAUGAGAUAUGCAUGUAGAACUUGGGAUUCACCAACUUUCCCAAUAUAUAGGCCCUUGACCUCAUUAGGAUUGUUAAGUUGAGCGGCACAGAGACAGCUUGAAUCCGGUCUUUAGCAUCACUAAGAAUUGGAAUCGCGCCAUAGAGGGGAAUUUGGUGUCCUUGAACAACAGCCACCACUAUUCGGUUACUCUUCCUUGGCUGAUAAAACUUCGUCAUCUACUUAAAAGCAUUAAAAAGACAUUCGACUGAGUAAGGAGAGAACAAAUAUCAGGUACCCAUUAUUCAAACAGAAACAUGUAAUUAACUACUUCAUUUAUGAAUUUCAUAGUAAUAGAAAUACAUGUCCUACCGAGACAAAAUUUGGAACUUGCUAUCCUGUUGCCUAGCAGGCAAAGAUUUACCUCCGUGGAAAGGAUGAUUCAUUCGGAUCGACAUGAGAGUACAACUACAUUGCCAGAAUCCAUGUUGUAUAUUUGNNNNNNNNNNNNNNNNNNNNNNNNNNNNNNNNNNNNNNNNNNNNNNNNNNNNNNNNNNNNNNNNNNNNNNNNNNNNNNNNNNNNNNNNNNNNNNNNNNNNNNNNNNNNNNNNNNNNNNNNNNNNNNNNNNNNNNNNNNNNNNNNNNNNNNNNNNNNNNNNNNNNNNNNNNNNNNNNNNNNNNNNNNNNNNNNNNNNNNNNNNNNNNNNNNNNNNNNNNNNNNNNNNNNNNNNNNNNNNNNNNNNNNNNNNNNNNNNNNNNNNNNNNNNNNNNNNNNNNNNNNNNNNNNNNNNNNNNNNNNNNNNNNNNNNNNNNNNNNNNNNNNGAUCACUAACUAAUACUAAUCUAAUAUAAUAGUCUAAUAUAUCUAAUAUAAUAGAAAAUACUAAUAUAAUAGAAAAGAACUGUCUUUUCUGUAUACUUUUCCCGGUUCCGUUGCUACCGCGGGCUAUACGCAAUCGAUCGAAUUAGAUAGAUAUCCCUUAAUUUGAUUUGUUUACUCUGUUCUAGAUAAGAGCAUCAAAUAAUUUCAUCAGGGUCAUCUCAAAUAUUUUUCUUAAAAUAAAAAGAUUGAAAUUGAUGGAUAAAUAUACUCGCACGCGCUCUUCCUUAACCAAAGGUUUUGAGUUCGAGUACUAGGUAUAGUCGUAUUUGAUUGGAAGCUCUUUAACCUCCAAUGUAGAUUUUUUCGGUGGGAAUUUGAAUUUCGCCGGGCCCUAAUGCAUACCAAAGACCGAAAACCAAAAAGAAUACUACUCCCGUUCUUCAAAUUAAAUGCUAGGUUCAUUAUUAAGGUUUUUGGUUGUAAGGUUGAACAUCAAAUACUACGGCAAAAAAUUUACACCUUAUGGCUACUGAGAAUCUUCCUCUCAUAGAUUUAGGAUCUAAUUUUUUCCUUCUUAAAUUUCAAAAGGAGGAAAACAAGACUAAUGCUUUACAUAAUUAACCUUGGUUCAUUUUAAAUCACUUUUUCUUUGUUCAUCGAUGGGAACCAAAGUGAAUGGCUUCUGAAACAAAAAUCAAUUAUUCUGCUAUCUGGUUGCGAUUACCUGAAUUAUUUACUAAGUUUUAUGAUUUUCAGAUUAUUCAGAAAGUUGGUAAUAAAAUUGAAAAAUUGUUAACUGUUGAUACUUGUACCUCCUCAACGUCAAGAGGAAGAUAUGCCAGGUUAUGUGUUGAAAUAACAUUGGAUCAACCAUUACGAACACAUAAUUAUAUUGAGAAUCAUAGGCAAAAUAUCUUGUAUGAAGGGUUAAAUUUGGUAUGUACUAAAUGUGGUUGAAUAGGGGAUAAUCAAAGAGUUUGUACCUACCAUGUUCAAGCUGAACAUCAAAUCCGGACCAACCUACUACAGUUAAACCAGAGACUCCACUCAAUCCAUUAUCCUAGUCUAUCAUUCUAGAAAAUGUUUACCCCAAAUCUCAAUUAUCUACGCAGACAACAAACACCCAUACAAACCACUCAUUGACUCCAACACAACCACACUCCAUCCCUCCUCCACAUCUGAUCAUGGAACCAAACACCAUUAUUUACACUAAUCAAACUCCUCAUGCACCAACAAAGCUCACUUCAUGGCUUGAGACAGGAUUACAGAAUCACGCUCUCACCUUCACGAUGGAGGUCAAUCAUCAAGAGGUGCCAAUUCUUAUCGACCAUCCAAAGGACCUUGCACAAAUAGUAGCGGAGGGCAUGCAAUUAGGGAUGGAGAUAUAUGUAAGAUACCACUGGUCCAUGACACAGGCUCCUUAUCUUUUACCAUACCAUGCACCACCUCUCCCAACCCCAUAUUGGCAUCACUUACAUCUUCACCCACACCUUCUUUAGAUGCCUUUUUAUCCAACUCCCACUCCAAACACCCUAUGGAUCCAACUAAACUGGGAUCCACCACCACCUCCAACCCCAGCCUCAUCACCCACUCACUCACCUCCACACAAUCACAAUCCAGAACAAGACAUUAACUUUCAAGCAGAACUAAAUGCAGCAGCCAUUUACAACGGAGAAACAAGUCCAAUUCAUGCAUGUCUAGAUGGAAUCAGAGUCUUUAUCCAGAAGGAAGAGUACGAAAGAAAAAUAUACAUGAGGUGUCCUCCAAAUCUCCUAACAACAUCAUUUCGUCUAAGGCCAACUACCAAGCCAGACGAGGUAAAGUAUGCAAUGCUUCUACUUUCCACGUUUCUUCUUCGACCAGGACAGACAAGCACUCAUAGAAAUCCAACGAGCAGUCAACUACUUGAACCAACUGACAAUCAUAUGAAUUUUAUUAUUUGGAAUUGCAGGGGUGCUCAGUUAGAUGGUUUCAAAAGGAAUUUUUGUUCACUAUUUGACUACAAUCGACCAUCCUUGGUUGUACUGCUGGAAACACACUGUCAAAGCCACCAAAUUGUGAAGGAUGAUUUUAAUUUCACGGGCAUGAUUGAGGUUGCUGCUAUUGGCCAAUCUAAGGAAUAGACGUGCUUGACGUGGAACCAGUGGCCACCACUGCACAGGAAAUACAUUGCCAUAUUCAGGUCCUUCCUUUUCCUUUUAAAUGUUUAUUUACAGCCAUAUAUGCUAGUACUAACUUAGCUAAUAGACAAACUUUAUACAUAACCUAAUGUGUGUAUAUGAUGUAAGAAUAAUGUCAUCAGCAAAGAAUAAGUGAGAUAGUUGAGGUCCUUUGUUACCUAUUGAGAGUGGUAUCCAAACAUGAUAAUUAACUGAUGUAUUGAUUUUUCUCGAAAAACAUUUCAAGCAUACAAUAAAUAAAUAAGGUGAUAAAGGGUCUCCCUGUCUAAUUCCUCAAGUGGGUGACAAGUAAUCUGUAGGGUUACCAUUAAUUAUAAUUGAAGUAGUAGUUGUUGUAAUACAUGGCAUAAUUAGAUUAAUAAAAAGGGUGGGAAAUUAAGAUUGAUUAGAGUAUGAUGUAUAAAUAACCACUCUAAUUUGUCAAAAGCCUUUUCCAAAUCCAAUUUUAAAAGCAUAUUUAAAUUAUUACCUUUCAUUUUUUGAAAUUUGGUAAUUAUUUCUUGUACAAUAAUAGCAUUGUCUGCUGCCAUGUUAUUUUUUUGGAAGCUAGAUUGAGUAGGAUGAAUAAUAUGUUCAAAAACAGGUUUUAGUCCGUUAACAAUUAUUUUUGUAAUGAUCUUACAAAUAGUGUUACAAAGACUAAUAGGGCGAAAUUGCAAUAUAGUGGAUGCAUUCUUAUUUUUGGGUAUUAAACAAAUGAAGGUGGUAUUAAUAGAAGGGUCAAUAUGAUGGUCGUUAAAGACUUUGUGGCAAUAAAAUUUUACUGAGGGACCAAUUAUAUUCCAAUAUUUUUGAUAAAAUAAUGGAUGAAGUCCAUCCGGUCUAGGUGCUUUAGGAGCUUUAAAAGACUUAAUAGCAGUUAUAAUUUCCCAAUCUUGCAAUGGAUUUGUUAGAAGAGAUUGAUCAUGCGAUGUUAAAAACAUUGAAAGGCAGUAAACUAUUCUUUUUUAAAGAAUAGAUUUUUUUAAUUGUGAAAAGAUAUUGAUAGUACUGUGUAAUAGGUCUCUUGAUGUGAAUAGGGUUAGUUAUCCAAUUUUCCUCUUGAUCUUGAAUCGUAGUUAUACGAUUAUGUCUCCUACGAUUGAGAGUACUAAGAUGGAAAAAAUUUGUAUUUGCAUCACGUCAUUUAACCAAUCAAUAUGUGACUUUAAUUCCCAAAAAUCCUCCUCAAGCCUAAGGAUCUUAUUAAAUUCCAGGGUUAAUAUAUAUUCUAGGUUGUGAAGGAAAAUACUAGUUGGAUAAUUAAUAGAGGAUUGAAUACCACUGAAUCGAGUUUUUAUUUUCUUUUUACGUUUAAAAAUAUUACAAAAAAGUGGAUUUAUUUCAUUCUUGUACUGUAGUAGUGAACCGAUUAAUAGCAGGAAUUAAAAUGUAAUUUUUCUAGCCAUACUUGGUGAACUAAAGAUGGAAAAGUAGGGUGUGUAGUCCAUUUAGUUUAAAACCUAAAAACAAAUUUCGAGGUAAUGGGUAAUGUCGUAGUUCUAAUUUAACAGGACAUUGAUUUGAGUGUGUACGAGGAAGAUGUGUAACCAAAGCGUCAGGGUAUUCAUUAAGCCAGUCAUAAUUGGCCAUAAUACGGUCAAUAUAUUCAAGUAUAUUUCUACUAUUAUGCCUACCAUUCGUCCAUGUAUAACGACUACCUUUGUAUCCCAAAUCAGUUAGAUAACAAUAAUUGAUAUAGUCCAAAAAUUUAUUAGAUCUCGAAUUAUUAAUAGACAACAACAAUAACAAUCCAGUAUAAUCCCACUUAGUGGGGUUUGGGAAGGGUAGUGUGUACGCAGACCUUACCCCUACCNNNNNNNNNNNNNNNNNNNNNNNNNNNNNNNNNNNNNNNNNNNNNNNNNNNNNNNNNNNNNNNNNNNNNNNNNNNNNNNNNNNNNNNNNNNNNNNNNNNNNNNNNNNNNNNNNNNNNNNNNNNNNNNNNNNNNNNNNNNNNNNNNNNNNNNNNNNNNNNNNNNNNNNNNNNNNNNNNNNNNNNNNNNNNNACCCUUGGGUAGAGAGGCUGUUUCCAAAUAGACCCCCGGCAUCCUUCCCUCCAAGAACUUCCCACCUUGCUCUUGGGGAGACUCGAACACAACCUCUCGGUUGGAAGUGGGGGUUGCUUACCAUCAGAGCAACCCCUCUUGUCUGAAUUAUUAAUAGACAAACCACCAAAUUUAUCAUUUGUAUAGAGAAUCUCAUUAAAGUCACCACCAAUGACCCAAGGGCCUUUAUAACUAUCAUGUACACACAUUAGGUUAUGCCAUAAAGUUUGUCUAUUAGCUAAGUCAGUACUAGCAUAUAUGGUUGUAGAUAAGCAUUUAAAGGAAAAAGGAAGAACCUGAACAUUGCAAUGUAUUUUCUGUUCAGUGGUGGCCACUGGUUCCAUGUUCCAUGUGAACCACGUCUGAUAACCAUAAGAUAGCAAUUCCUCAAGACUGGCCAAUAGCAACAACCUCAAUCAUGCUUGUGAAAUUAAAAUCCUCCUUUACAAUUUGGUAGAUUUAACAAUAUAUUUCCAGCAGUACAACCAAGGAUGGCCUAUUGUAGUCAAGUAGUGAACGAAAAUUCCUUCUGAAAUCAUCUGAUUGAGCACCCCUGCAAUUCCAAAUAAUAAAUUCAUAUGAUUGUCAGUUGGUUCAACCAGUUGACUGCUCGUUGGAUUCGUGUGAGUGUUUGUCUGUCCUGAUCGAAGAAGAAACGUGGAAAGUAGAAGCAUUACAUACUUUCCCACGUCUGGAUUGGUAGUUGGCAUUAGACGAAAUGAUAUUAUCAGGAGAUUCGAAGGACACCUUAUGUAUAUUUUUCUUUCGUACUCUUCAUUCGGGACAAAGACCCUGAUUCUAUCUAGACAUGCAUGAAUUGGACGUGUUUCUCUGUUGUAAACGACUGUUGUUUCUAGUUCUGCUUGAAAGUUGAUGUCUUGUUCUACUGGAUUGUGAUUGUGUGGAGGCGAGUGAGUGGGUGAUGAGGCUGGGGUUGGAGGUGGUGGUGGAUCCCAGUUUAGUUGGAUCCAUAGGGUGUUUGGAGCGGGAGUUGGAUAAAAAGGCAUCUAAAGAAGGUGUGGGUGAAGAUGUAAGUGAUGCCAAUAUGGGGUUGGGAAAGGUGGUGCAUGGUAUGGUAAAAGAUAAGGAGCUUGUGUCAUGGACCAGUGGUACCUUACAUAUAUCUCCAUCCCUAAUUGCAUGCCCCCAAUAUGGGGUUGGGAGAGGUGAUGGUGGAUCCCAUUUUAGUUGGAUCCGUAGGGUGUUUGGAGCGGGAGUUGGAUAAAAAGGCAUCUAAAGAAGGUGUGGGUGAAGAUGUAAGUGAUGCCAAUAUGGGGUUGGGAAAGGUGGUGCAUGGUAUGGUAAAAGAUAAGGAGCUUGUGUCAUGGACCAGUGGUACCUUACAUAUAUCUCCAUCCCUAAUUGCAUGCCCUCCGCUACUAUUUGUGCAAGGUUCUUUGGAUGGUCGAUAAGAAUUGGCACCUCUUGAUGAUUGACCUCCAUCGUGAAGGUGAGAACAUGAUUUCAUAAUCCUAUCUCGAGCCAUGAAGUGAGUUGUGUUAGUGCAUGAGGAGUUUGAGCAGUGUAAACAAUGGUAUUUAGUUCCAUGAUCAUAUGUGGAGGAGGGAUGGCGUAGGGAGUGUAGUUGUGUUGGAGUCGAUGAGUGGUUAGUGUAGGUGUUUGUUUUCUGUGUAGGCAUUUAUAUUUGGGGUGAACAUUUUCUAGAAUGGUAAACUUGGAUAAUGGAUUGAGUGGAGUCGUUGGUUUUAUUGUAGUAGGUUGGUGCGGAUUUGAUAGAAGUAUAGAAGGGUCUAUAGCAAUGGUGGAGAAGGGCGGUUGGAGUGACUGAUGUGUUGCUUGUGUUUUUGAAUGGGCUGAAGAGGUGGGAAAACCAUCAUUGCGUAGUUGCAUGGGAACUACAAAAUUAGGGAUAGGCAAGGAUGAUGGUAUGUUGGAUGUGGGAGAGUUUGGUAGAUGUUGUAUUAGAUCUUGUGUGGGUGGUGAAUAAGGUGUAGUGGGCCAAUGUAUUGUGCCAUGCAUGUGUGAUUGGCAAACAUGCCUAUUUGCAUGCCUUAGGAUAAGUAAUGAAGGAUGGCUAAUUUUUUAAUUGGGCCGUUGGAGAAAACACUUGAGUGGAAGUUGAGGAAGGUAAUUGGUUAUUGUAUGAGUCAAAAUAUUAGACUCAUUAGAAUCAUUAGUCUCCAUGGACGAAUGGAGAGAAAGUGAUUUAAAAUAAACCAAGGUCCAUUAUGACAAACUUCCGACAGCUGCUUAUCUCACAAGAAUAGAUCUCUUAAAUUCAUCUAUAUGUCCUCAAUGUCAUAGGGCCCCUGAAACAUUACAACAUAUAUUUCUAGAAUAUCCACCUGCAACACACCUCUGGACUAUGCUUAAGAUAUCUACUAUCAAUGCCAAUUUUCCUCUAUCCCAUAAUGCAACUCUAAAUUGGUUAUCCCAUUUUAACCUAUUUAUACAUCAAUAGCUACUAAUUACCCAAAAUGAUAUUCCAAAUACUACUCUUAUACCUUUUGCAUUAUGGGAACUAUGGCUUCUACGUAAUAAAAAUACUCUAGAUCAUCAAAGGGAUUAUUUAAAAAAAUUUCCAUCUUUAAAAAGGCUGCAUGAUUUUAUUAGCUUGCAAAUCAGAGAUCAAAGACUUUCUCUAAUACCAUUAUAUGUAAAAUGACACCCCCCCCCCCCCAAAAAAAAANNNNNNNNNNNNNNNNNNNNNNNNNNNNNNNNNNNNNNNNNNNNNNNNNNNNNNNNNNNNNNNNNNNNNNNNNNNNNNNNNNNNNNNNNNNNNNNNNNNNNNNNNNNNNNNNNNNNNNNNNNNNNNNNNNNNNNNNNNNNNNNNNNNNNNNNNNNNNNNNNNNNNNNNNNNNNNNNNNNNNNNAAAAAGGCCCCCCCCCCCCCCAAAAAAAAACAUUCAUACUUGUAAGCUUAACGUUGAUGGAUCUUGCUCUCUUAAGCAGAAAUAGUUUUGGGGGUCUUUUUCGUAAUCACCAAGUUCAGUUGAUUAUAGGAUUGGCAGGAACAUCACUACAUGGGACAGCUAUUCAAACGGAACUUCUAUCUUUGCUCAUGGGACUGACAAUUAAUGUCCAAAAGCAUCUCAAACCACUCAUCAUAGAAACAGAUGCACAAGCCAUACCCGAUAUGUUCAACUCCACAACAAUGCAAUACACUAAUAUUAUUACUGAUUGCGGGUUAUUACUACUAUAGUUGGAUAGUCCCCCUCUUCGAAGCAUCUACAGGGAGCAAAAUAGUGUUGCAGAUAGUCUAGCAGAGGCAACCUGUCUACUUUUUGAAAGUCCACCACCGUUUAUCUCUUCCCUCUAUCAACAAGAUCAAAAUGGACUGCUUCGAAGAAGGAUGAUUAAAAAUAGGUCUACUUUGUGUAAUAGCAAUAUUGUACCUACUACUCUACCUAGCACUUUUCCUAGUAUUUUGGCUAGUUCUACUUUUGAUCAUAGUUAUGGCUCCCCUACGGGGGCCUUAGGUUCUAGCUCUAGUAUUAUAAAUCUGAUGCCUCUAAUGCAUCUCUUUAACUACUCUCUUGUAAGAGCUGAUUUUAUAUAUAUAUAUAUAUAUAUAUAUAUAUAACACUAUCUUUUCAACCAAAAAAAACAUACUACAUAGCUAAAACCUAUCUUCUAUUUCUACCUACGGUGAAUUCAAGUGUACUUCUAUAACUUAAAAAUGUUUUCUAACCUCAUACGCAAAAAUAAUACUUUGGGUCUAGUUUGGAGGAACGAAAAGCACUACAAAAUAAACAUUAAAAACUAAAGAAAGAGUUUUAUAUGGAAGCAGAGGUAUUCUUAAGAAUAAACUUGAUGGAAACACUAUUCACACGGUAACAUUCAUUGGUGGUUAUAGAGAUUAAAGAGCAAAGGCUAAAGUCUUUGUAACUAAAAACUACUCCCUCCCUUCAAUUUUACGUAUUCACUAUGCUAAAAAUAUCUUUCCAAUUUUACUUGUCCAUAAAAAAUUAAAAAAAUCACGCAAACUUUUUUCUAAUUUACUCAUAUUAUUAGCUACUCAUCAAGCCCAACCUGGUCGAGCCAAAAAGAAGUAUGAUUGAAUAUGGUCUUGGGCAUGGGCCAGUUCCUACCCACAAUUUCAAUUGGCCCAAGAAAGCCCGAGUAGAAAAUUCUUUAUAAAGCAAUACAAUUAAAAGUCUAACCACCAUAUGUAACUAUAAUUUGUCUAAUUAUCAUUCAUAGCGACUAUUCAAUUGUUACAUAUCUGUAUCAUUUGUAUUCAGAUGCACAACUAAUAUAAUAUGUGUUAGUUGUAGUCAUUCACGUUACGAAUACAAACAUGUAUUAACUGCGUUUGGUCAACGGAUACAACCAAGGCAAAAUACAGAGGUGUAUACAAACCACCCCUUUGGGCAUAGAAAUUAUGUACAUUUUUUCAACAAAAAGAAAAAGAAAAAAUUGGGAUGAAUGCUUGUUCAUGGAACAUGAUUAGUUUUUGAAAAAAACAUUGAUUUUUCUUCAAGUUCCCAAAAAUUGGUUACGACAGUUUUUGAGUAAAAACUUUUCUUUCAUUCACAAAAUUUCAUAUUUCUUUAAAAUAAAAUGCAUGACCCAACAAAAAUUCAACUUUCAAAAUAAAAUUUUCAGCACGUUGAAAAAUUCUUUUUUCAAGUUUCAACCAAAUUUAUGUCCAAAUACAAGCAAAGAAUACAACCACUACGUCUACAAAAUGGUCCUUGGGCAUGGGCCUAUACCUAUCCACAUAAGUUGAGCCAAGCAAGCUCGAGUAAGUUGAGCCAGCCCUAGUUAGACAUAGGGAAGCCCAAUCACGCCAGCAUAACUGGGCCAGUCCUGCUCUCGUUAGGCAGUCUAUUAGGCAGUCUGCUCAGGCAAUUGUUGCAGUUCCUCAUUCCGCAGAUCAUCCAAUCCUUCUUCGUGAGCCUUUCAGAGAGCUUUCGAAUAGUUCAGUACCGGCUAUCGAUAAAGGAAGCAUAUGCCUCUAACUCAAUUUCCGUGUGGGUAGUCUCUAUUAGGAUUUCUGUUUCAUGUGCACUAAAAAGGAAGGAAGAGUGGUGCGACUAUAGUAAUGCCAAGCAUACGAACAAAGGACUUUGUCAAGAAAGAUUUUUUUAUGCCCGUUACACCUUUUGUGAAGAGAGUGAGUCAAAGGGUAUAAUGGGAGCGCACAGUGAUUCUAAACAUUCUUGAUGCAAAUUUUCUUGACAAAUCACCUUUUCCUUAAAGAAAUAAGGUACUACAGUUGGUCAAUGUCAAUUUGACAUAAAGUAUAUCCUACAUUGUAUUUUGUAUUUUUAUUUUUUAUUUUAUCAGGAAGGGUAUCCUACAUCUUAAUUGUUGAGAUGAUAUUCAAUAUUGGUCCUUCAAUUUGCGCUUGAGCUCACCUAAUUUAACAACAAAAAUACAGUAUAAGGAGCCAUGCUAAUUAGCCGAGAAAUUUUAUUUUGAAUGAGACUCAACCAACAAAAUUUGUAUGAAACACCUCUAAUUAUUGGACAUGUGGAAAAAUAGGUCCCACAUUGCUGGUUCCCUAUUUAUAUCUCGGGUAGCUACGUAUUUCCCAUUUUACCGUCACUUUCUCAACUUCUUACCCAUUUUUACUGAAUGUAUAAUGCAAAACCAGUCAUUUUCAAUUCUUUCUCUUCCUUCUUUUCCAGAGUUCUCUCUCUUCCUCACUUCUUAAUUAUCUUUCUCCUCAAUUUGUGAAAAAAAAUUCAAAAAGGGGAUCGAGUAAAGGAUUCAAGAAUUCAAAAAAGAAGACUAACUGAAUUUUGCGAGAGAAAAAAUAAUGUGUUCAAUACUUUUGUGAAAGAAUUACUUAUUUUUUAAAUUUCUAUGCUUUUUGGUUUCUAUGUUAUACGAUUAUAUGAUGAAUAAUUUGGUUAAAGUAUAUUAAUUUGGGCAUCUCACUAGUGUGCAGUACAAACUCAAAUUCACAGUUAUCUUUUUAUUUUGAUAUUACUGCUUGGGUACAUCUUUGAAUUUCUUUGGGUUUGAAGACCUUUUCUUUUGUGGUGAUCUGAAUUCUGUUUUGAAUUCUUAUGUGUACUUUAUUUAUUGCUAUUAUGUAAAAUUGUAGAGUAUUUUCUUAGUGAUGUAAUGCUAAAUUUGUAGCGUAGUAUUUUGUUGUUUGAGCUGAAAGUGUUAAUCAAAAUAUUUGAUACUCAAUUCUUUGAGACUGCUUUGAAAUCAAAGAAAGGAACGAAAAAGAUGUUACAUUGAAGAAUUUGAAGAUGAUUUAGUUUAGUAGGAGAAGAAAGAAGACAAAGGUAAUUCACGGAGAAAAAAGAGUGGAAUAAGUAGGCAUGGAACCCACUUUUCCCAGAGGCAAACCUACGUGGUGGGUUGAUGGGUCACAUGACCCGUUAGCCUCGGCAAAAAUCUUAUAUAAUAUAUAUAUAUAUAUAUAUAUAUAUAUAUAUAUAUAUAACCCCUUAAAUAUUUUAUGUGUGCCCCUAAAACAAAGAGAUAAAUGAAAGAAGUGGUUGCUUUGGGCCCUUAAAAUCCCAACUUUGAGGGGACAUAGGUCGAAACUCCCUUUCAGUUUUUUUCUCCUCCUUUUUAUUUUUAUUCUGUGAGUACAAUGUAAUUUAUAUUCAAUAACAAAUUAUUUUUUUCUAUUUCAUUUAUAGUUAAUACUAAUAUACAAUAGUCAAUUUAAUUAAUUUUAUUCCUUCUCUUUCCAUAGCACUCAUUUCAUUUAUAUAUUUUUUUUAAUCACCAGUAAUUAGAUAAAAUAGUACCCUCCUAGUCGUGCCUAAAUUCUAAAUUCGUCUCCGAUAUUUUCACAUGUCUAACAAUUAAAAAUAUUUCAUACAAAUUUUAUUAAUUAAUCUCACUGAAAAUAAAAUUUCUCUAAUUAGCCAUACAACUACAGAUGGCCUGUUGCAGCCAGCAGUCACCAUCAAAAUAUGGUCUUUAGCGCGUAGUGACAGGCAGCUACAGUGACCUUGGCUUCGCUCCUUUUCUCGGUUCCUUGUUUUAGAAACCAUAUAAAGGAGAAGAAAACACUUUAACCACAACCGAAGUGGGCCCAACCGGUAAGAAGGAGCCCGAGUCCUUAUGAGUCUGACUACAGACUUUCUGCAGCCUUUUUCAUGCUACCCAAAAACACACCAACCAAUGCAAUAGUAAUAACGCUUCUCACUAGACAAACCACUCUCUCGAGCAUCUCAACCCUCCCCCAAUUUUUAUUGUGCAUUUUCCCAUCAAGAAUUAAACUACUAAUUUUUCCACACUCACUGGAACCCCAUGCCUAAAUGCAAACUCAACUCGGCUUUAACAGUAAGAUUCUGCUUAGAAAAGUUUACAGCUAGGCAUAAAAAGCUGAUCUGCAGACGGUGUAAAAUAGAGUUACACUAACUUGUAACGUUAACGGAAAGAAAAAGGAGAUUUCAAUUUUCAAAUUAUGUGACUUACUUGACCACAGGCAACCUUGAGCAUGUAAUAGUGAAGCUCAAGUGGUGUAGCUGUGACAUGCACGCCGAAAAAAGUUGCAGGGUUCCGGUAAUAGAUCCUGACCGUCGAAUUUAGGGUCAACAUAUCCGUUUGCACCCCGCUCCUAUCUGUCCCUGCUUGCACGUUAAAACUUUCGAACACCAUGCUCUGCACCAACAUACGAUUAUAACCCAUGUCCUCAUUAAUUAUAGUAAACAAUACGUAUUGACAAAAGCAAAGUGUAAUUACUACUGCUAUUAUCGAAAUAUAGCAAAAGUCCACUGUUCACACUAACAAUACUGAGCCAAUCCAUCUUGGUACUGCAGUUUCUAUAGCUGGAAAAAGAAAAAACGUUCAACAUUGUACAACGUCCCUUCUUUCCAAUUCGUUCGACACUAUUUUCUUAUUAAUUUUUUUUUAAAUACAGUAUUAUAUUUUUAUAAUAAAAAUUAUCUUAUAACCACACAACCACGAGCACCAAAAUUUACAUUUAUAAAAAUGUUAUUUCAUUGUUCUAAAAUCAUACAUUUUUAAAAAUAUUCAUUUUCCUUCAAUUUCGUACGAUAAUAGUGCCACAUAAAGUCUCGAAGCCUUGUAAUUUUAAUGAGAUAAUUCGGGCUGUACUAUUUAUACGGGUAAUUGCAUGAAAAACUGUAUCGGAAAUGAGUAAAAAAGAAAUUAACAGCUUUCUCACGUACCUUAACAAAGAUUUUGGGUUUGUACGGCACACUAGCAGCCCAAAGGAUGAGGGAGAAGAUGGUGAAAAGCACAACGAAAGAGAAAAGAAAGCACAGCACAUAGAAUCUAACAUUUCCCUCAUCACCAGACUUGCCAUCGUCUUCUCCUAAUUCGUCAUCGUUGACGUCUUCAUCCGCCGGGCCCUCGUCGUUUGUCCUGGGUAUUCUCUUCCAGGCAGUAAGCUGAUUCGUGGCUGGGUUCUUCAACGAAGCAGAGAACCUGGACGUUGAGGACUCGCGGGAAUGGUGAAUGGGAGAGCAGUGGUAGUGAUGGGCGGGCGACCCGAAUGGGCUCGACCCGUAUGACAUCUUCUCAAGAUCAUGCUGUGAGUGCGAUGGACUCUGAACAUAGUACAGCGGCCUCCUCGGUGACCGUGGUGGUGAAGAUGCGUCGAUGCUCGUAACUUCUGAGUCAGAUUUGGCAUGUAUUGUAACCCCCAUUGCUAGCUACUGCUCAAUACAAGAAAAUGCUAUUAAUUUCUGUGAGAUAAAAGAUGACAAAAAAAGGUUAUGGCUUUAACUAAGGAUAGGGUUACUUUUGUUGGGAAAAAUGAGUUAAUGGAAGGGUUUUAAAAUCGAGACGGGGUAAUAACAAUGGGUUUUGUUUGUCGAUUUUCUAGCCACUGAUCUAUAGGAAGAAAAUGCUAGUAAUGCUUGUGAGAUACUAACAGAUGAGAAAAAAAGGUUAUGGCUUUAACUAAGGAUAGGGUUAAUUUUGUUGGGAAAAAUGAGUUAAUGGAAGGGUUUUAAAAUCAAAUAACAAUGACUUUUGUUUGUCGAUUUUGUGUUUUCCUAGGUUUAUGCUGCUACGAUAUGCUAACCGCGUAAUGUUCACGCUUUGGACCAGUCGGAGCUGUUCUAUUGUUUCCAUGAAUCGCCUAUCGCUUUCGUGCUGUAAACAAAUACUCCGUUUCAACUUAGAUUAGAUAAUAACCCGGACUUUAAGAAAAAAAGAAAAAGAAACUUUUGAAACUUAAAGUUUUAAAUAUUUAAGGAGUAAAAGUUUUUUGAAGUUAUGAUAUUGUUGUAUUUAUAAAAAUUUCUCAAAGAAUAAAAUGGGUAAAAUGAGAUUUUAAAAAGCGAAUUAGUUUCAAAUUUGACGAAUAAAUUUUGGAUAUCGGUACAUCAGAACCCGCUAACUCGUUAACUGGUUGUUAACGGGUUGCAGUCCGAUUCAGUCUGGUAUCUGUUACAAAAUAAAAUUGUGGAUUGUUGCCAACAUUCAAAUUCAAAAAUGACAGCUCGGCAACGGUUAGAUUUUGCACAAAUGGCCAUUUUGGCAUCCCCAUUAAGAAAAUAGUCGUCCCACCCCUAUUAUUGAUAAGUUAUAAUUUUAACUUUUUAAAAACUAUAAAUAGUCCCCCUUCUUUUUUAUUUUUCUCACAAUUCACUCUCUUACUACUCUACUUUUCUCUUGAUAUUAUUGAUUAUUGCUCUUAAAUUUUCAAUUACUUAUUAUUUCAAGUUUCAUCAAAUAUUUAGUUUAGCCAUUACAAAUUUAUUACUAUCAAAUAUAUAUAUUCAAGUGAAUUAUGGUAUCAAGUACUAUCACUAUCAAGUAUCGGAUAUCAAUAGAAGUUUGAUUUUUUAUAUCAAAAUUAGUGCAGCAUCCGGAAUUCCGGUACAUGCGUUCCAUCUCUUUCUCUUCUUUGGUGUACACGUAUUUUAUUAUUUAGAAUUAAUAAUUUAAUUUACAUAAUGGAUUAACUUCGAGCAACCAAAAAAGUGUGUAUUAAUAGAAGUGAUAGUAAGAAAUCUUUCAAAAGAACAAGAGGCGGUGUUGGUUCUUCUAGUAGCUUUAUACAUAUUUAUGAAAGUUCACCUGAAAAUUUAAAUGUAGAUUAUGAGCAAAUUCGCGAAAAUUAUGGUUAGAUGAUGAUUUAGAUGAUAUUUAGAUGAUAUUCAAUGACCCGAUAAUCUUGAAAUACCACCAGCUACACCUGGUAAUGCUAGUCAAACUCAAAAUACUAGAGGUAAAACAAGUAAGCAUCAUCUCCCUAUUAAGAAGAAUUAAAGACUAAGAAGUAAGCGUUAGAAUUCUUUUGAGAGACUAGAAGAACAAAAAAUUAUGUAAAAUGUAGAAUUUGUAAUGAAAUUUAUAAAUAUGACCGCGGUAAGAAAGGGGAAACGGGUCAACGUCGUAGUCAUAUGGUAGAGCUCAACCCUCUUGAUUAGGGAGUAAAUGAGGAAGAUGAGCCACAAAAAUUUAACCUAAGUACUGGGAGUUAAUGGGUAAAUACGAUAUUAAGAUAGAUCGGGAAGAAUUAGCUAUAAUGUUUGUUUUAGCUUGUUUACCUUUUAGUUUUGCUUCUUCGCCGUAUCAUGUUACUUAUAUUCAAAGAAUUUAUAACCAUUUAUUUAUAACGUAUUCCUAGAAGUACUUGUAGAGUUGAUAUCUUUAGGCUUUUUGGACAAUAUCAGACAUAUAUACGUUAUUUGUUCGUCAGUAUUUCUUGUAUAGUUUCUCUUACUUCUGAUAUUAGUCAUGUCGUAAAUGUAAAUGAUUAUUUGAUUAUUACGUGCUAUUGAAUAGAUGAUAAUUUUUGUAUGAAAAAAUGUAUUAUUGCUUUUAAAUAUGAUGACGAUCAAAGUCAUACUGGUGCAUUUAUACGUAAUAUUAUCCAUGAAGUUGAUAUAUUUUAUAAUCUUGCAGAAAAAGUUUUGUGUAUGUGAUUUGAUAAUGCAUCUAACAGCAAUUAUGUAUUACAAUAUUAAAAUUGCACCUACAUCCACUACUUCCUGAAAUAUUUCAUAUUAGAUGUGCAUGUCAUAUUUAUAACUUGAUUGUAAAGAGUGGCCUUGAAUUAUUUAUAUAUGAAAUCACUUUAGUUAUGAGAGUUGUUGUUGUAACUCAAGGAAAUAAUAGAAGUGCUAAAAUGCAUAUAAGAAAAAAUGCGUACACUAUGGACGAAAACCAAGACUCAUUAUUGAUACUCAAUUUUUUCCUAUGCACUUUUAUAUACAAAAUACUUUCAAAAUAGCAUGUACAUGCAUAUAGAAGCAUGCCCAAGGGUUUUAAUAUUUGUUCCUAAUUUUAAAGAUUUUAAAAUUAAUUUAUUGUCUGUUUUAGCAAUACAAAAUUAAGUAAUUAUUUUCAAGAUUAUCAUUUUAGUAAAUAAUUUAUUUUUAUUCUCAUAUAUAUGCCAGAAUAAUUAAGGUUAUUUUUGUAUAUUUUUACAAAUUUAUUUGGUAUUUUUAAAACUAAAUUGCAUAUAAUUAUAAUUAUAGCCUACUUUAUAAUUAAUAGCAUUUUAUAAUUAUAAAAUAAUUUUCAGUUUUUUAAAAUUAAUAUUUAUAUAGUAUGUGUUAGCUCAGUUUAAUUUACUUUUAAAAUUAAUAUUAUAUUUAUAAAAUAAAAAGGCAAAAUUUGCUAUUUGAUAUUUAGCCUCAUUUUCAUUUCAAUUAUAGCCCUUUUACCUUUCAAUUAUAGCCUUUAAAUUGACCCAAUUUCAAUCCCAAAAUAGACCAGCUCAAUCCCUAAUUACCCGACCCCAGGCCCAAUUAAAACCUCAUCCGGCUCCCCUUUGAUCCGGUCGUUGAUCAUUUUGAUCAACGGCCAUAAUUUUCCCUUUUCUUUUUUAAUUUCCAAACCCCCCUAACCUAAUUCAUUUCGUCUAAGAUACCGCCUUUGAACCCCUUCAUCUCUCAAACACUCUCGAACCUUCCUAGAACUUUAAUCGUCUCCCACCUUAUUUCACCGUGUUUCCACCGGAAUUCAUGGCGUCUCAGGCCAUGGAUGGUCUGUACUCACCCUUUCUCACUAUUAAACAUAAGCUAUUCAAGGUUGUGAAGCCUGACUUCGAUGGUUCUCUCCAAGACCUUCUUAGAUCUGUAGACCUAUGGCUUCUCCGGCCAUUACUAUGACAUAUUCGAACAAUAUGAGUCUUUUCAACUCAGGAUCUGACUUUCCUCGAGACAUUUCUCAUUUCUAGGGUUUUCUCUGCAAUCCUAAGCUGUCAGAGGUUCUUUACUUGCUUAUUUUAUUAGAUCUGGAAAAUAUUUGUAUUCUAUCGAACUUUUUAAAGGUUUUCCCCAAACUCUCUUUUCAAAAUCAUUUAAUUUCGAUUUAUUGUUUCUAAAAGGUUUUUCGAAAGCAUCUUUCUGAUUCUUUUAUUCCUUCUUGAUGUGUGUUUGUCUGACUUCAUUUACUACGCAUGUACUGUUCUUCCAUUUUCUUUUUCUACUCCACAUUUUAUUUAUGUACUCACAUGUUAAUCCAUGUUGUUUUCCUCAUUCUUUGCUAUAUGUGUUUUCGGUUGAAUUCUUUGAUUUUUGUUCACUUUACUGAACUUGUUUGUGUUCUUGCUAAGAAUAUUUCAUCUACUUUUGUUUAAGAUCGUAUCAUCUCUUUCUCCUGAACAUGUUUAAAUUUUGAGUUUUCUCAAACAUGUUCUCAUUACCUUGAAUGAGUUUUCUUUCUAUCAUGUAUAUUUGUUUCCCAUAAGUCCUUGGAAUAAACUUCUGAGCCUCUCUCAAGUGACUUGCCUUCUCAUCUCUAUUGCCCGACUCAAUUUGGAACCCCAGAUUUGAGGAUUUGUUUUGGCAAUUUUCAUUUCUUGUGUGCGAGUUAGGGUUCCACUUUGGGACCCUAGACUCCCAUGCUCGUUUUGAGUCUGCAAACUGGACUUGUACCACUUUUGCUUAUGAUUCUGAACUUAUCUUUGAUUAAACUCUCUUAUAAAUAACUUGAAAAUCCCUUCUUGAUUCACUUAUUGUGUGCUUUAUAUAUGAGAAAAUUCCUCUUUCAAAAGGUUUUUACCAACUAAUUGAUUGAUUCUGAAAUCCUUUUAAUAAGGCUGACGGAUUGUCACUGAUUUCCUUUGAUUGAACCUCAUUUACCUUCUCUUGAUUUGGUUCAUUCGAAUUGAACUUGUAAUUUUGGCUUCACUGGCUGUUUGAUUAAUUCCCUUUCCAUAUUUGUCGCAAAUCGUGUACCAUUGAAUAUUUUCCUUAAAUAACUUUGAUGUAUUUACCCCUUUUAUGCUACUAUGAAAAGGUUUUAAUCAAAACUUCUUUCCUUAAUUGGUUUUUACUCGUUGAAAUCCCUUAACUAAAGGGAGAUUGAUUUCAAUAUUAUUUCCUUACUUUUCUUACUUGUUUUCUGCAAUAUUAAGGGAUUGUCCUUCUGCACUCUUAACACCUUCAGUACGAUCAUCCUUAUAUUGUCACUGAUUUUCUUUGAUUGAACCUUCCUUUACCUUCUCUUGACUUGGUUCAUUCGAGUAGAACUUGUAAUUUUGGCUUCAAUGGCUGUUUGAUUGAUUCUCUUUCCAUAUUUGUCAUGAACCGUAUAUCAUUGAAUAUUUUUCCUUAAAUGACUUCUAUAUAUUUAAUCGUUUUGUGCUACUAUGACAAGGUUUUAAUCAAAACUUCUUUCUUUAAUUGGUUUUUACCCGUUGAAAUUAGAAUCCCUUAACUAAAGAAAGAUUGAUUUCAAUGUUAUUUUCUUACCUUUCUUACUUGUUUUCUGCACUAUAAAAGGGACUGCCCUUCUGCACUCUUGACACCUACAGUACGAUCAUCCUUAACAUCCAAUUCAAUACUCUCACACACUUACUGCUUUGUCUUUCAACAUUCAGCUUUUUCUUGAGAUAUUAUGGAGCUGUUUUGCUUGCAACGUGGCUUUUUUUAAGACUCUUGUUUUUAUUUGUUUUUCCCUGAAACUGGUGUGUUCUGAUUUAAUUUUCUGCUUCGCCUCUAUAUGUUUACUUUAUAAUUUCAGCAUUCUUGUUUACUUUGCUAUUGUUGUUCAGAGAUUAGACUAUGUAUGUCCUUUUCUUGCAUCUGUUUCUAUCGUGAAUCCAUACCCCAUAUUCCCUUCUAUGUGUUUGAGUUAAAGUUCUUGGCCUGGAAGUAUCCAAAUUAUUGCCCAGCUCAUAACCUGAUCCACAAUGAAUCUUAACUCCUAAGAUUGGGCUAAUAGGCUGGUCAGUGGUGUGCCAGCACUCCCAAUUGCUGGGCAUGACCACCAGCCCACCAUGGCCUUCCCUAAUUCCCUCUUUAUGCACUUGUACUUAUUCUUAGACUCUAAGUUCUGCCCCCCUCUUAUGAGCCUUGCUUUGGGACCUUGAGUUCCCUUUGAACUUGGACAUUUGAGGGUUGGCCCUUCCACACUAGACUAUGAUCUAAUUCUGCAAUGUAUUUGGGGUGUAAGCACUGCCCAGAGUCCUUUGAGGCUCUAGGGAACUUUGACAUAUCCCAAAUAAAAGAAAGACUUUUGGAAAUAUGAUCCUGGAAGUUGGUUUAUUUCGUAUUAUUAGACCUUGAGUCUGAAUUAGGUUAUUUGGUUGUAGCUUGAAUUUUUGAUGUAAUUUUUACUUUUUCUGGUUCACUUUGGUCUGUAAUAAUUUGUAAUAACUAUUGGGAUGGCUGGUGGAAAGGGAUGGGAUGACUGUAUGCAAAGGGUAGAUAACUUGCCUAUAGGAUUUUCUGAUUCCUGCAUUCGCAUAGACAACAUGCCUAUAGGUUAUUUAUAAAUUUCUGCAUUCAUGUAGAUAACUUGUUCAUAGGAAUUCUUUAACUUCUGCAUUCUCAUCUUAGAAAUCCUGCCUAAAGGAUUUUCUGAUUCAUGCAUUCACAUAGACAGCUUGCCUAUAGGUUACUUAUAAAUUUAUGCGUUCAUGUAGAUAACUUGUUCAUAGGAGUUCUUGAACUUAUACAUCCUCAUCUUAGAAAUCCUGCCUAUAAGUUCUGCAUUUCCGCAUCUAGAAAUCUUGUCUCUAAGUUUCUGUAUUUCUGCAUACAAAAACCAUGAUCAUAGGUUUUUUCUGUACUCCUGCAUAUACAUGGCAUUAGGCAAACAAUCAUAUGUUUAAUAUAAUCAACUUCAUUCUAGAUACCAUGCCUAUAGGACUCAUGCACUUAUGUAAUCGUUUAAAAUCAGCAAUGCUUAGAAAUCAUGCCUAUAGGAGUAAUCAUUUGAAUCAGCUUCGUCUAUUUUCUCUAUGAGUCUAAAAUCAGUAAAUCAGGUCGCUUAAAAUCUACAAAACUUUUGUUUAUAAAAUCAUUAAUCCUUUUUUAAAAUGAGUACACAUUUUGCACUGUUAAAUAUCAUGGCUAUAGGCCUCACCUAGGCAAGCCAUUAGGUGAUUAAUCAACUGUGUCAGUUCUUAAUAAAUUACAACUAGACCAGGCCUAAUUCAGACUUCUCAUAUGAGAAAUAUGUGAUAAAUCAGCAUGUCCUAACGCUUUAAAUUUAAUUAAGACCAUAACUAGUAUUUAAAGUCAUGCUAUAUAAUUUUCUCCUUAAGUGAGGAGGCUUGUUUGAGCCUUAACUGUUGUUUGUUUUCCCCUAACUGCUUAUGUGUUCUUAUUUGCAUUAGAAUUUUAUCCUUUUAAACUCUAAAAAGGCCCCAACUCACUCUCCUUUAGGAUUAGUAGUCAUAACGCCUCCGGGACUAAUAGGAUUGAGAUGGGUAAUAAGAGCAAUUAGUAAUGAUACUAUUUCGCGCUUUAAUACCUUAACGGGGUGGGAAUGUUAGAUAUGGAUAUGAUGACCAGUGCGCUAAUACCUCAUAUAGCCCCUAUUUUGAGGAGUGAUUACUGGGUAUUGCAUUUAUGUGAUCCAUAUUAGUCAUAAACCUAGGACCUCUUUCCCCUUUACAUGUUUAUUUUUUUCAUAAUUGUUUUAAUCUUUUUCUUAAAAUUUCUACCCUUUUUACUUUUACUCAAAUUUCAAUUUACUUGCAAUAUUAUGUGAAAACUCCUUCUACUUGAGCCCUUAUUUGCUUACUUGUCACGUGAAGUCACAGUUAUGACAUGAUCGGGAACCACACUAGUAGAUCUUGGGGGGUGCUUAACACCUUCCUCCGAAAUAAUUUCUAGCUCAUACCCAAACUCAGGUUCUUCAAUUCAAAACCCUUCUUAGUUUCCUAAUGCACUUAAUCAUUAGGUAGCGACUCUUCAAAUUCAAAACCCAAUUCCCAGAAGGGGAACGAGUUGUCAUCACAAAUGUCAUAAAUCCGAUUUUGCCUUAGAAAACAGAGGCAUCGACACUCAUGUUUGAAGAAAUAGUUACUAGGUAGAAUUAUGCUUAUAUAUUCUUAAGAUAUUGUUAUAAAUAUAGAAUGCCUAUAACUGAAGUUGCUAAUUCUCAUUGUACAAUCCUACCCAUUUGUUAACAUCUAGAACUUGGGAUGUCAUUGAAGAUGUACAAUUUUUAUAAAAAUUUUAUGUGGCUACACUUGAGUUUACUAGAGCUUAUUAUCCUGCUUUUGUAAAUGGUUUAGUUCAUAUUGCUGAGAUUUCUCUUUUACUAUAUAAUAUAAAGAAGAAAGAAGGAUAUAUGUUGAAACUAUGCUAGAUAAAUAUUUCUGCCCAAUUUCCUAUAUUUAACUAAUUGGUGCUAUUUUAAAUCCUACUAUCAAAAUAAUAAAAUGUUGCCAAUUAAUCAAUGCUUUAUAUACUUAUAUGGAUAUUGGACCAACUGAAACUUCUAAUAUUGACACUUGUAUUUCUGAUAUGCACAAAAAUUUUCAAACUUCAUAUAAUUAUUAUGCUAACAUUGUUGAUGCUUAUUCGGUUGUAGAUGCAAAUAUUCGUUCGAGUAAUACUUCAACAUCUAAAACAACUUUGGAUGAUGAUGAUGGUAUUCAAGAUUAUUGAUUUGGUCUACACUAGGAGAGCAUCAACAAACCAGUAGCAGGAAUAUUGAUGAACUCCAAUUCUACUUGCAAAAGUCAUCAGAGCCUCUCACAAAGAAUUGCUACAACUGGAUUGGUAGAGAAGCAACUCAAAUCAAUUUCGUGUUCUUUCGGCCAUGGCCUGAAACGUGCUAAAUGUGCCGAUUUCAACAAUCGCAUUAGAGAGUACAUUUAGCCCAUCAAGGUAGCAGCUAGGAGUCACCCGUCAUUCAUUGGGCAGUAACACGUUGGGAAUUCUAGUGUGCUUCAGAGACCGGAUAAGAUCAGAACGGCAAAAUCAAGGGCGUGCCGAGAUAGAUGAAGCGGAGGACCAAGAAAUUAGAUAUAUAAUAGUUUAUGGUUUCCGAUUCAAUCAAUGCCGGUAACCAAGAACCUCAUAUUGACAUGAAUGAACUUACAAAAAUGAUGCAAAGCAUGUGAAGUACUAUUACUUAUGUUUUAUAAUUGUUUUAAACUUUUAAUUGCAAGUUCAAAAAUUAAAAAAAUCGAGAAAGAACUUGCAAACUAAUUUGACGCAUUAUAUAUUAUACAAUAAAAAUAUCAAAUGACAAUCUUCAGAACUUGAUCCUUACAUAUUGUCUAUUAAUCUUAUUAAAUAAUUUUCUGUAGCCAUUUACUUUCAAAAUUCAAUUUUAAAAUUUUAAAAUUCAAAUUUCAAAUUUAAAAAUAUAAAAUUUUAACUUCAAAGUUUAAUUCUAAGCCUUAAAAGUUUGUAAACACUUAAGUAUCAAUAACAUUGAAUAAGAAAAAUAAAAUUUAAUAUAUAUAUAUUUGUUCUCUAUAACAAUACUUCGUUAUAACAUUCAAAAAUAUUUGAAACAAAUGAUAUAUUUCUCGAAUGUAUUUCUUGAUAAACAUUGUAUGUUAUAUAUAUAUUAGCCCGCCCUGCUCGAACCCGUUAAGUCCGAAUCCGGACGGGUCCAGAAAAAACUCAAAAAUAACCAAUACGCUACUAGUCCGUUAUUCCAACCCACUAACCAAUCCAAUCCGUUAAUAAAUGGAUUGUUUUUUUUUUCAACCCGUCUCAGUCUGUCCAUUAAAUACCUUUAGUUAAAACGUUAAUUUAUUGCAUAAAUUUUUAUAAAUUUGAAGAGAGCAGGAGUACUACGAUGGAGGUGGAUAAACGCUCUGAGAGGGCGAUUGGGGAUAUAUAAAUUUGAGGUGAUAUUACACUGAACAGCACCAGGAAAUGGGAACACGAAGGGAUGCAAAAGCCCAUUAAAUUUGACCAAAUUUCUCAAGGCUUCUGUGUUCUAAACAACAAAACACGAUUGACAUAGAGGAAAAAUGCAAGAUUAAUAAAUUUCUCUUUGAUAAAAGUACUCUUUUAUUUAAGUAACUUCUUUUUUAAAAUUAAGGUGUUUGACCAAUUCUUUUAGAAGAAAAAAUAUUUUUUUGAAUAGAAUAAGAAAUAGUUUUAUAAAAGUAGAAAAAAGUAAUUUUUUAAAAAGUAAUUUUGAGAAAAAUAAGUACUUUUAAAAAGUUUAGCAAAACAUUAAUUGUUGGUCAGUUUUUUUUUAAAUUAAUUAACUAAACACAAGUUGUUUGUAUUUGUUUUAAUUAUUUAAAGCCAACCGUCUAUAACUUUGAAAAGAAAAACAUUUUGAAGACCGAGUAGUAUGUCACAUUUGAUUCAUCAAACAUUGGAAAAUAUGACAUUUCUUCGAUAAUGCGUAGUAACGAAGUUUAAUUUAUAGUUGAAGGGUUGGAGCGUUAAUUUAUCUUACACUAAUAUUUUUUUAUUCUACCAAAGAUUUUUCUUUCUCAAUUUUACCUUUCUACUAGAUAUUAUGUACGCGCGUUGCGCGUUUAUACUGUAUCAAUAAUAAAACUAAAAAAUAAAAAAUAAAAAAUAAAUAUAUAUAUAUAUAUAUAUUUAAAAUGAUGAAAGAAAAGUUAUUACAUAGGCACAAUAGCAUAAUUCAAUAUCCUUGAGUAUGAUGACCGAUUUAAUCAAAUUAGUUGUAUAAACUGACAUGAUGUAUAAAGUUUUUCUAGUUAUCCGGCAAGAAAUCGACGAAUAACUUUUAGCUUAAUUCUAGUUAUGAAGAAAUAAUUUGCAUUCUCAAAAUAAAAAAUAAUAUCUGAUCCUAAAUUAUCAAGAUUCUUAAAUAAAUGGUGCAGGUAGAAAAAGGAAGUUGAACUACUUUUCAUAAACUAUUUCACUUUUCCAAGUAAAAUUAGAUAUGUGCUCUGUUUUUUCUUCUUUAUCUUUUUUCUUUUAUUUGAGAUUCUUAUCUUAGCUAUUUUUUAAUAUUUGAUAUUUAUAGAUCUUUGAAUAUGGUGAUUGAAUUUGUAUUUUGUAACUUAAGUGCAUAAAAAUCUUAUAUAUCAUCGGGGUGACUCGAUAAAUUUUAUGGCCUAAAGCCAAACUUUAUAAGGGGCCUUAACUUUUAAUUUUUUUUAAUUAUUUAUUUGAAGUCUAUUUUUUCAUAUUUUUUUUUAUAUAUACAAAGUUAUUAAUAAUUUUCAUAUAAUCAAUAUCUCCUAAUAAGUAUUUCUCAAUUGACAAUAUUGCUAAUCUAUUUAACCUUUCUUGUGACAGUGUUGUCCUUAGAGAAGAUUUUUUCAAUUUUAGUUUUGAAAACUUCUUUCUGCUUAACCAACGGUAACAUGAGUUAUGAACAUUAUUCAAUAAGCAUUUUAGACAUUUGAAAAAAAAUUAAUUUUUUAUUUGAUUAAGUGUAUCAAUUAAACUGUUAUCUUCUAAUUGUAUUAUUUUUCUUAAUACUUUUUAACUCAGAAAAUAAAUCUAAGCCAUCAAUUAUUGAAUUGAUUAUUAUGCUUUAAGGAACAUUCAAGAUUAAGACAAUAUUUUUUCAAAUUUCCAACAUCUAGUGAUCUUAGUUUUUGCUGUCAAAUAGAAAAUCAAAAAUAUUUUCAUAUGCUUCGGAUUGAUCAAAUCUAUUUUGAAGUAAAAAAAUAGUCUCGUCUCUUAUGUAUAAAUGUAAUAAACUCUAAAAGGCUCUUCCAAAGAUUUUGAGAUUUCAUUAUCAGCAUUCGCAUCAAAUUGUUACGUCCUAUAUAUCACACAUUUCUUACGAAAUUUAAGUUCAAAAUUCAACUGAAGUGCAUUUUCCUAAGUAGAAAUUAUAACAGUUGCAAAUCCUUUUUCUCUAUAUUGGUUAAAGAAAGAAAUCAAAUUUUUUGAUUUUACAAAACUCUUUUUUAACUUAUACAUAAUCUAUUAGGUGUAAUAAAAAAUGAGACACCCACAAAUACGAGGCUUAAAGCGGUUGCUUUACUCGCUUUAUGAAGGACUGCCCCCGUCUGUCAUCGAAAAUUUAUAAAAAUUAGAGCUAUAAAUUAAGUGGACCUUUUUUCGUGUAGAAUAUUUGCCCAAUUUUUUUCCGUUAAAGUCUAACCCUUUUUUUUUUUACCAUCUUUACUAAUCCUAGACGGAAUUACCAAUAGGUGCCCUGGAAAUUUUGAAAGUUCACAUCGAUUAGAACUUUUUGCAAUAUUAUAGAAGAACAAAAUGAGAAAAGUUAUCAUUAUCUGAAAUUUUCAAUUGUAUUCAAAAAAAUCAAAGAUAUUAAAUGUAGUCACAAGUUUACAUGAGAUGCUUGUUGUUUAAAUUGUUUUUUUAAAGAGAUAUUAAAGUCGGUCAAAUAAGAUAAUAAUUUGUAUAAGUUGUUUUAAUUGAUUUUUUAAAAGUACUAAAUAAUAGAACUUCCUAAGUAAUUCAAUUAAUAAAAUAUUAAAUAUGCAAAGUUUUUGUUGAUUUUAAAAUCUUAAAUAUUAAAUAAAUAGUUAAAUGAUAAAUUUGUCUUGAUUAGUAUACGUAGGUUAGUUUCUUCUUGCAGAAAUCAUCUUUUUCUUUUUAAUUAUUUAUUUCAAGCAAAGAGAAAAAGAAGAUAAAUAAAAUAAACAAUCUAUAGAUCAUCUUAGCAGAUUCUAAACUAUAAGAGUUGUUUGUUGUGGAUUAAUUAAUAUUUCGUAAAUAAUAUAAGUGAUUACCAGAAGUUAAGUAAUCACCUCCCCUAAUUCGAAGAUUCGUUAUAAGCUCCCAACGCACAUUAUAAAUUAAUUGGGAAAUAUAAAUUCAUGCAACUUUACAUUUGUUCAGGUAUAUAAGACUAAAAGUAUGAUUUGUGUAUAUAUAAGCAAAAGCGAAAAUCUUGCCUAAUUUAUUACUUGGCAUAAAAUUUUAAAAAAGGGGAAAGAAUUGAAAUUCCUAAAUAGUUGGAGUUUAUACAUAGUUCAAAUAAGGAAAGGGCUGAUAGUAAAAAAGUUUAGUUAAUUUUAAAAUUCUAAAUAUUAGGAAUAUAAUUAAAUGAAUAUUUUAUCUAAUAUAAACUCUAUUUAGGUAAAAGAAUCGAACAAUAUUUCACUAAUUGUUUUCGUACUUUUAAUAUAGCGUAUGUAUAGAUUUUUCAUCUCUACAACCAUACAUCAUCCUUAAUACUUACAUUCUUUCUUUUUAUCUUUUAUUUAGUUGGAACUUACCCUUAUUUUUAUGGAGGGUGGGGGGAACUGUUAUACCCAAGUUUACAUGCGUGAGAGUACGUCGUAAGUCAUUGAUAUAAGCUCGGAUGAGAUUAUAUUUGGAAGCAAAUAAAGUAAGUUAAUUGUUACCUUGGAGGCCACAAAUACUUAAGAUCAUGAAUAACAAGUACCAAGAGGAUUGGAAAUCUUAGAAGCUAAGCCAAUUGAAGAAAAUAAGUUUCGUCGAAAGUCGACAAGUUUGGAAAGUUAUAACAUGUACUUUGGGGUGAGACUAGGGUUCUUAACAUGAUAAGUAGGUUAUUCUAUGAGUUAUUUUAGUCGUAUGAUAUUCAUUUUCCAUAUUUUGAAGGCAAGCAAGUUGUGGAACGAGAGUUGGCAAAUGUCAUCACAAGUUACAUUCAUAAAUUUGUUGAAAUUUAGGUCAAAUGUAUCUGAUCAUUUAAUCAUGGGAUGUUCUACCUAGUAAAUUGAAUAUCUACAAGUCCACUUUCUAACUCAUUAAACUGUUCAUCAAUACGACAUCAGCAUAGAGGGAUAUUCGCGUUUUCGAGAGACCGCGCAAGCAGCUCCAAAUGGGACCCACUUAGGCGAUGGUCGAACUACUUCACUUUAUAAACGAUUUGGGCGCCUAUUUUUGACUUAUUUUCAACUCAACUACGUCUCCAAACUUCUCCUAACCCUUCAAAAUAGAUUCCACAAGGGUUUGAAGUGAUUCCAAAGUGAUUACACCAUAUUUUAACAUCAAAACCUAGUCCUAGUGAAGAACAACACCUCUUUGAGGUUGUGUUGUUAUUGAGGAUUGUUGUGGGCUGUAUUUGGAUGAAAUUCCAAGUUGUUGCUGCUGUAUAGCUAAUUGUUCUUAAUCUUUCUUGUAUGUUGGUUAAGUUGUUAUGAUGAUAUACUAUAUCUGUCUAAGGUGAGUAUAACAGCUUACUAAUUGUGCUUAGCUUGCUUGUAUGUUGGUUAAGUUGUUAGAAUGAUAAACGACAAAAUAAUACUUGGAUAAGCUUAAGUCACUUAUAUGGUGUUGUAUUGCCAUUGAGAGUUGUUGUAAGCUGAAUAUAACUUGGAUUUCGACUUUAAGUUACUAUAGGAAGUAGGUAUAUUAUGUUCUUGCAUGUGCCUAAGGUUAUAUUGAUGUUGAUUAAGUUAAAUGGAUGGAGUAGACAUGAACUAGUGAAUAAAGUUACUAACUGAAGAUAGUUGUAGUUGUGGAUUGUUUCCUUUGUUAUAAGUAUAUGGAAUAAGGAUGAAAUCAUUUAUGAAUGACUUCAUUAUCAUGUUAAUGAUAGUUUUAAGUUAAUGUAAGAAUUCUAUAAGGGAUAUAUGCGCUAUACAGAAUCCUAUUGGAGUUUCUCGCUCGUCGUGAAGUAGUUGUGACUUGUUAUUGUUGUAUGAUGUCUUGUUAUUGACAUUUAUAUGUUGAUGGAUUUAUCUGGUUGUCUAUUCUUGAUAUAUGGUAUUGGUGGAGGCCCUUGUUACAAGGAAGAUGCUGCCCAAAUUUAUGUAAACGAGCUACUAGCUUAAGUUAUAGACUUAGCCUUUGCUCAGCACUGAUUUUGAAUCUCCNNNNNNNNNNNNNNNNNNNNNNNNNNNNNNNNNNNNNNNNNNNNNNNNNNNNNNNNNNNNNNNNNNNNNNNNNNNNNNNNNNNNNNNNUUGAUAGAUCAAGUUGACUUGUUUGAAGAGUUGCUUGGAAGGUAUUAAGGACUCAACAUGUUUAAAGUAUGUUAAGGCACUUCCUUCUUUCUUUUGGCAUGAUCUAAAGUGAAAUGAAUACGCUAUUUCAUAAUGGAUCUACUCCUAGCAAUAAGGUUGUCCAUGUUGUUCUUUCCUUAUAAAAUUAUUCAAAGAAAAUGUGUAUAAUCCUUGAAUUCUACUAAGGUUCAUAUUGAGGGUAUGGAUGUCCAUAAUAUUCUUAAGUCACUCCAAAAGGUUUAGAACGUGAUUCCAUGUGUCUAGCAUGCAUUAUAUAUAGUAUCUAUUUUACUCUACCAAGUGCGCUAUAGUCGGUUAGGUACAACACCUAUAUUACCUAUUGUGCAACAACUGAUUAGUUGGGUUUACUGAGCUCCACGUGGCUGGGUACGAUUCUACCGAGCAUUAUGAUGGCUGGGUACGUUUUUACCGAGUCCUCUUUGAGGCCGGGUACGAUAUGAUGAUGAUGAUUCCCAUAGAGGAGAAUGAUUUUAUAAAGUUUAUGUAUAUAUAUGUAUUAUGCAUUUCGUAUCAGUAGCCCCGAUAGGCACUCAGAUGUUACAUGUUGUAUCUCCUUUAUCUCAUUUUUACAUUACUGCUCUUAUUUAUGCUUUCCCGCCUUACAUACUCGAUACUUUAUUCGUACUAAUGUCCCUUUUGCCUAGGUAUGCUUCGUUUUAUGCCCGAAGGUCCCGAUUGAUAGAUUGAUAAUCCUUCCAGUAGGCUAUCAGCUCAUCAAAAUGUUGGUGCACUCCACUUGCUCCGGAGUUGCCUAUUUGGUCAGAAUGCUUUGGAUAUGUACUGAUUGGUAUGGCGGGGCCCUAUCCCAACCUUUGUUUUUGUUUUUAUUUUCCUUCACUAAGCCGAGGGUCGAUUGGAAACAGCCACUCUGCCCUUUUGGGUAGGGGUAAGGCCCGUCUACAUAUUACCCUCCCCAGACCCCAUUUUGUGGGACUAUACUGNNNNNNNNNNNNNNNNNNNNNNNNNNNNNNNNNNNNNNNNNNNNNNNNNNNNNNNNNNNNNNNNNNNNNNNNNNNNNNNNNNNNNNNNNNNNNNNNNNNNNNNNNNNNNNNNNNNNNNNNNNNNNNNNNNNNNNNNNNNNNNNNNNNNNNNNNNNNNNNNNNNNNNNNNNNNNNNNNNNNNNNNNNNNNNNNNNNNNNNNNNNNNNNNNNNNNNNNNNNNNNNNNNNNNNNNNNNNNNNNNNNNNNNNNNNNNNNNNNNNNNNNNNNNNNNNNNNNNNNNNNNNNNNNNNNNNNNNNNNNNNNNNNNNNNNNNNNNNNNNNNNNNNNNNNNNNNNNNNNNNNNNNNNNNNNNNNNNNNNNNNNNNNNNNNNNNNNNNNNNNNNNNNNNNNNNNNNNNNNNNNNNNNNNNNNNNNNNNNNNNNNNNNNNNNNNNNNNNNNNNNNNNNNNNNNNNNNNNNNNNNNNNNNNNNNNNNNNNNNNNNNNNNNNNNNNNNNNNNNNNNNNNNNNNNNNNNNNNNNNNNNNNNNNNNNNNNNNNNNNNNNNNNNNNNNNNNNNNNNNNNNNNNNNNNNNNNNNNNNNNNNNNNNNNNNNNNNNNNNNNNNNNNNNNNNNNNNNNNNNNNNNNNNNNNNNNNNNNNNNNNNNNNNNNNNNNNNNNNNNNNNNNNNNNNNNNNNNNNNNNNNNNNNNNNNNNNNNNNNNNNNNNNNNNNNNNNNNNNNNNNNNNNNNNNNNNNNNNNNNNNNNNNNNNNNNNNNNNNNNNNNNNNNNNNNNNNNNNNNNNNNNNNNNNNNNNNNNNNNNNNNNNNNNNNNNNNNNNNNNNNNNNNNAGAUGACACAAAAAGAAACGUUAUGUUGGUACUCGGUUGAAUAAGGUACUGGGUGCCCGUCACGGCCCAUCGGUUUGGAUCGUAACAAAAUUGGUAUCGGAGCAGUUCUGUCCUAAGUAGUCUACCAGCCGUGUCUAGCAGAGUCUUGUUUAUGGGUGUGUUGUGCACCACACUUAUAAGCAGGAGGCUACAGGGUAUUUAGGAUUGUCACUCUUUCUUCUUACUCUAGAUCGUGUAGUAGAGUUUAGUUAUAAGAAUUCAAACUCCUAAAUUCGACUUUAGUCGUAAUACAAUGAUACUUACAUCCACGAAGACCGUUGGUAAGAGAUUGCAUGUCGAUAUGGAAGAGUUGAGUCAGAGGAACUCGAUUUCACAUCAUGAUUAUGAUGAGUAAAUAUGAGGUUUUUAGCAGAUCAUAUGUGUAUUAAGAUGUGUAAGCUUCUUAAUAAGGAGCCUUAAGGCAAGGAUAUCUAUUCAUGAAUAUGGUGAAAAACUAUGAGGGAUUCAGAAGCUAGAUACAAGUUUCAACAAGUAAAAAAAGUAAGGUGAAGAGGGGUACGAGGCACCCAGUUAACGAAGAUUAUCAAUAUUUUCAAAUCAAGCUGAGAAAUAUAAGCAUUUUGGUACCUUCAUCAAUGACAGUGGUACGUAAAAUUGGCCACACCCAUCUCCGUUAUGUUCUAUAGGAGCUAACAUACGUUAUUUAAGAGAAAAAUGGGAUAUCAGGAUCAAAUGGAAGUUAGAAUAACCCAAAAAUUAUGGAUGGGUUGUUAUCAUUAAGUAGUGUUUCCGAAAGAUGGUGCAAAUGUGGUAAUAGAUCUCCUUGUAAGACGCCCAGAUGGUGAACUCUAAAGUAGUACAAUCAGUUAUGAAUACUAGAAUAUUCAGAAAUUUCAAAAGAUAGGCAGUUGGAUCCUAGAAGGGACAAAUAUUUACCUUAGUAUGACUCUAGCCCUGAGUAAAAAAAAAGAUGUUAGGAAUUCCAAAGAGCUAGUGAGAUGAAGCUAGGGGAGCUAAAAGGGAAAAAAAUUGUUGAAGUUUUCAGAAUAAAGUGAUGGACAAAAAAUAUUAUCCGGAGAAUAAGAAAAAAGUAAAUGAAGCAUCAUGAGUAAGAUGUGAUAUACGUGUGAUAAUAGUAAAUCAAAACAUAACACGAUGACAGAGUCUAUAGUCAAGUGAAGGAAAUUACAAGAGGUGAUAGGCCGAAUAAAAGAGUAUAUUCUAUAAAGUCAUAUCCUUAUUUUGAGAAAUGAGUUGGUGACUUCAACGUGAUUAAUAGGAGGAAGGGUUAGACCCUAGAGUAAUAAAAAACAGAAUGGGUUGGUGAACAAGAUAAAACUGAACAUGAAUUAGGGAUCAUAGGAUUUGAUAAUGGUCUACAUCAUGAGAAAUUUAAAAUAUCGUGCUCCAAAAAUAAUAGAAUAGACAAUAGACGAAUAACCUUUAAAGGGAAUUUAGGAUGUCGCGUACCUAAAGCAAGCACUCUGAGCAGAGUUAAUAUUAAGGGACUAAGUGUUCCAGUUACAGUUGGUGUCACCUUCGUGCGUAAGAAAUUUAGUCAUCCCUGGUACAGAAGGUUACCAUAAUGCGAUUAACGUUAAUUGAUAAUGUGAAAAGACACCAAAGAUGAAGAGGUAAAACAACUAUAGGUAGAUUGUUGUAGUACUAAAUCUUUGUACUCCCCUAAGAGGUGGGGAAUAUGGUGUGAUAUGGUAUUAAGUUGGAGUUAAGAGGUUCAGUUAACUAUGCAAUGGUAAAGGAAGAAUGUGGUAAAAAGAGAAAGGGAUAAUGUUCCAUUUAUUCAGUUCUUACAGAUAUGUUGCGACUCCAGAACAUUACACAAGCACGACACCGGUUAGAGGCAGUAAAAGUUUUCAUCCAGGAUAUUAUUGAUAAGAUAAAUAAGUGUGAAUGGACACUUGAUACAUCAGGAGCUAGUGGCAAGAGAUGAGUUAAGACAAAGGAUAUAUCCCAAGAGAGAUUAUGCAGAAAAUAUAUAUGAGAAUGGACCAACGAGUAAUUAGUUGUUGAUUCAGGAAGAGCCUAGUUAUGGUUAGACAAGAGGUCACAGAUAAAUCAAUAGAUCAUGCAAGAUAAAUGUAGUGAACCGCAACAUUGUGAAUUCAGCUCGCAGAUAUGAGAUUGCAAUCAUUUGAAAAAAAAUUCAGAUAGGAUUUGAGGCAGUUAAAGGUACCCUUUUUAAGGUUUAUGAAAAUAUGAGAGAGUGCCACUAAGGAGACAAUCAAAAUUUAUCUUAGAAGUAACCCUACAAGCACAAAGGCAUAAUGUUGUGUAACUAAGGAUUAUUAUGGGUGAAUAAGAAUAACGAAAAUUUCCUUUGGAUGUACGAUAUCACAAGCUCGCAACUUUAUAAGAGUCAGAAGGUCUCCUUAAGUACUACAAUGAAAGACUAGCUGAGAAAAUAAGGAAGAAGGUUUCCACCUAAGCAUAGUGNNNNNNNNNNNNNNNNNNNNNNNNNNNNNNNNNNNNNNNNNNNNNNNNNNNNNNNNNNNNNNNNNNNNNNNNNNNNNNNNNNNNNNNNNNNNNNNNNNNNNNNNNNNNNNNNNNNNNNNNNNNNNNNNNNAUCUCACUACAAUAUUGUAUACACUCCAUAAGAAAGUGGCACCUAUCAUGGCUAAUGAAUGGAAAAAAAGUCAUCAAAGGUAAAGUUUGAGAUCAUAAGAGGUACAAGAAAUUACAGUAUUCGCGGGCAAUAAGAUAACCCAAAUAUUCAUGAAACAAUUGAUAGAACGAAAAGAAAAAGUAAUUGGUUACAUUUAAGGACAACUGAGAAGGCACGAAAAGCAAUUAAUGGUGCUAGCAAGUUAAAGGAAGAUUGCGAGUAGUAUAAAUAGAUAGGUGUAGGUCGUAAGGUAAAGUAUUUUAGAGAAAAAAGGUUUUAGGUAGAUAGGAGAAAGGAUAUGAAAAGGUAAGUGAGAAGGUGACUAGAAUAUGUACAUCCUCGGGAUUAAACCCAUCAAAACAAGAGAGUUGAUGUCAUUCAUAAGUUAUUGAAAGCUCGAUACAACCUGAAUGAACUCAGAGGAGCCUAGGACUAGGUGCAUUUAGAAGAGAUGGAAUGAUGCCCUUGCAGUAGAAUAAUGGUGUAAUUGUGAUAGAUAAGAGGAUGAUGCUUAAGCCUUUGAUUGAGUAACAAUUUAACGAGAAAGGGAUUUCAUUAACUGCACGAGAUUAGAAUACCCCCAUAAGAUGAAUCGCGUUGGGAUGCAAUGAAAUAAGGUUAAAGAAGUAUAGUAUUAUCCUUAGGUGUAUCAAGAAAAUCACUUCAUAUGUUCCCCGAUGAGAUGUGAGCCCUAGUAACAGUGUAUACACAAGAGGUUGUAAGUUACCAGUGAUAGAUUAUAGAUCAACAUUAAGGUGAAUAAACAAUAGAUGGGUAUAGGUUCCAAAGUAGGAGAUGACAUUUGUUUCUUAUUCUUUAUAUGAAUAAUAAUGAGGAAGCAAUAAGGGAUUUAUAUUUAUACAGAUAGGAUAAGCAACGAGAGAGUAACCUAGAGUUGGGUAGCAAACCUCGAUAAUAAUAAACUAAAAUAAGUUUUAUGGUAUAGUAUAACCUACCUAGAUAUAGUAAAUCCUUAAGGAUAGAUAUCCAAGGCUAUGAAACAACAGAUAGCAAUAGUC
rnacentral:lncRNA from 1 species